rnacentral:lncRNA from 1 species
CUUCAUCAACUAGAUGUGAAUAAUGUGUUUCUUCAUGGCGAUCUUGAUGAAGAAGCUUACAUGACUCCUUCUGCGGACCUUACUCUUUCUCAUCCAGCGCAAGUUUGUAAACUUAGAAAAUCUUUAUAUGGGUUAAAGCAGACGAGUCGGCAAUGGAACUCAAAACUAACUCAGAUUAUAAUACAACUUGAUUAUGUUUAAAGUACAACUGAUAAUAGAAACUGUGACUGAUAGAGCAGUUAAAACUACUGUGGUUGAUAGAGUAGUGAUGGAUAGACUAUAACUGAUAGGUUGUAACUGAUAGAGCAGCUGUAACUAAUAAUUUAAAAUAUUAUAUAAAAUCAUAUUUAUCAUCUAAUAUCUAUCAUCAUUCUCAUACCUAAUUUAAAAAAUCGAGUAUUACCAAAACACAUACCUAUAUUCAAUUAAUGCACAGAUUUCUCAUUAAAAUCAGGAUGAAUUUAAAAAAUACUUUCGAAGAUGAGUUCAUUUAUCAUCUGUGCACAUAAGUUCUUCAUGUCUAUGAUCAUAAAGUUCAUCACUAAAAACACUAUUUUUUUCCAACUACACUUAACUUAAUUUAUUAAUUGAAAUUCAAAAACAAUUUCAUUUUGUUAAUUAGUGUUAGCAAUUUAGAUAUAUUGGUUAGAUAUACUGUGUGCAACGGAGAACCAAUAAUUUUGAUGUGAGAUGUAUUGCAGAAAACAUAUUUAUCCAAACUUCUAAUCACAAUGUAAAUAUAAAUAAAGGCUAUAUAAAGCCUAUACUGUAUUCCUUAUUAGUGGCUAGUUCUCCCCAACCAACAAUCAUGGAAACAUCGUCCACACAUAUGGUUGCUCACCUAACAAAUCACAAAAUUUGAUCAGAAAAAGCAAAGAAAGAUGCAUUGAACUUUGCUCACAUACUUAGUAAUUAAGGAAAAUAGAAACGGUUUUAAUCAUUUGUUUAGUACCAAAAACAACCCCUUUGUAUGAUUUUAGAACCAACUAGUGAUAGAAAAACAAGAUUAAUUUGUUGGAUUAAAGUGGAAAGUGUGUAAUCUUUCUUAGGUUGCGUUUGGUGAAAAGGGUUUGAGUAGUUUGGAUUUGUUGAGUGAGUGAUAGCUAGUUGUUGAUUAUGAUCUCAUAUUGAUAUUGAGAGAGACGAUUGUGAUGACCUUACCCAAAAAGCAUGGAACAUUGUUGGCCAUUGCAAUGACCAUUGAUCAUCACCCAUUGUCGUUUGUUGUUAGAUCAAAAAUCUCUUCCCAAGUAACGUCCUUUCCAACACUUCUUUAUCAUUACUGUUGCUUCUUAGUUUCACUCCUAAAUAUAUAUGUGUUUAGUCUUUCUCAACAAAAUAGAUUUCUUGGUUUUUAAUUUCUAUAUUAUCAUUCAUUCUUUUUUAUUGCUGCACUCUUUGUUUUCAUCUGAAUUCUUCUACUGAUUUUACAAAAAGAAAAUAAGUAUAUUUUACAUUUUUAUAAAUAUAGCUAUUAAGAAAUGAAGUUUAAGCAUGAUUUAAUCUUGUAAAAUCAACUUAUGAGGUCACUAUAAGAAAAUCAUUAAAUAAAAAUCACUUUUAAAAACUAAAAAUAAUUAGUUGUUAUAUUCACUAAAUUAUAUACUAUUUUAGAAACUAAAAAAAAUUAUUGGUUUCUAAAUUAAUUUCUAUUAUUGAUAAAUAGUUUCUAGAGUGGUAUCUAAUUAGCUACCAAAGUUUUAACUACCAAUUAUUUAGAUUCUAAAUUUGGUAGCAAAAACAUUGAUAGCUAAUUAGAUACCAAUUUAGAAACUAUUUAUCAAUAAUAGAAACUAAUUUAGAAACUUUUUUUAUUUUCUAAAAUAGUAUCUAAUUUAGUCAAUAUAGUAACUAACUAUUUUUAGUCUCUAAAAUUGGUUUUUAUUUAAUGAUUUCCUAAUAGUGAAUUUUCAUCCACUUAUAUAUUAAUCUUUAAUCGAUAUGGAAUCUCCAACAAAAACCAACAAAUUUUCAUUAAGAUAAACUCCAAUAACUUUAUGAUAUUAUGUUAAGAACUGAACUUUAAGUCAAACUCAAUCUUAUAAAAACUGACUUAUAAAGUGAGAUUUACAAUCAUUUAUAUAUUAUGAAAUGUCAUAAUUUAUUUAGAAUCUCUAACGAUAAAGUUUUGCAUCUUUGCAUGCAAAACAUAAUAUUCUUUAUUUAUAUUUUAACUCGUAAUGAUUUUGGUGGAAUUUAUCUUUUAAAACAGUUUUGGUGGUGAGGGGAAUUUCAAAUUUUUAUUUUGAUAUACAUUAAUAUUUAAUAUUAGAGAAUGCAAAAUAGGUUUUACUUUAGAGACGAUCAGAGAAACAUGUGACUUAAAUUGAAAUAAAUACUUUUUAUUUAAUUCAUUUGGUCCAUGAUGUAAACGAGUUUACGUGAAAUCAACUUAACUAAUUUUUAUAUAAUAGUUUUAAAAAAAUAAUACUUUUUUUAAAGGCAUAUACACGUGUUAAAGUUUAUAUUUAUUAAAGUCAAUAUAUACAUCAUAUUAUUAUACCUAAAAUUUAAAUUUAAAAUAAGUGACUUAAAAUUUAAAAUAUGUAUUUUAUUUUUAUAUUUUAUUUGAAUUUAUUUGAUUUAAAAAAUUAAAAAUAAGUUAAAAUAGACCCUUUUAGUAAAAAAAUAAUUAAAUAAUGAGAAAUAAAUAAAUAAUUAUUAUACUAAUUAAGUUAAAAAAUAUUUAAUAAAUUAAAUAAUUAUUAGUAUUUAUUAUAAAAUAUUUUUUAAAUUAGCCAUUAAAAUUUUAGUUAUAAACUAUUUUAAACUAUAAAUUAAUCUUUUAUUUAUAAUUAAAGAUUAAUUUAGAAUUUAAAAUAAUUAGUAACUUAAAUUUUAAUAGUUAAUGAUAAAUAUAAAUUUAAAAAUUAUUUAUAAAUUUGUAUUAAUAAUAAAAGUUAUUUUUAAUAUUAAUAAAUUUUUAAUUUAUAAAAUAAUAUUUAAUAAAUUAUCUGUUGUUGAAUUUUUUUUUAUAGUAUUGUCAAAAUACUAUACAAAAACUCACAAGAUUGACCAAAUUAACCAAAUAUAAAUUUCUUUUUUUGUUAAUUAGACAAUAUUGGAUCGACCAAGUUACUUGUUAAGAAGUGGGCUUUAAGUCUAACUCAACCCCAUAAAACCGACUCAAUGAGAUGAGGUUUGCAUCCACUUAUAUACUAUGAAAGACUGUAAUCUCUAGUCGAUGUGAAAUUUCCAACACCCGUCACACCGAGGCUACCAACUCGUGCGUGGAGAUAUAUGUUAUGGGUGGUCCGAUAACGACCUGAUGGCGGGUGGCCUGAUAAACCCAAUAAAUACUCGUUAGGAUAGGCUCUGAUACCAUGUUAAGAAAAUGAUAAAAAAUGGUAAGAAGAAAAGAUGUUUCUUAUGUUCUUAUGUGUAUAUUACAUCACUUCAUGGAUAUGAAAUAUAUAGGGAUUUUCUCUAUCCCAAAUUAUAAUAUAAUAAGGUAGGAUACUAAUCAUGAGAUUCUAUAAUUAUUAAAUUAAUUGCAAUUGGAUACAAUAUCGUCAAAUAUUGUAUAUAAUAAUUGCAUAUAAUUUGAUAAUUAUUAUUUCCUUAAUAUUACUUUAAUAAUUUUAAUUAAAUAAGUAAUAAAAAUCUUAUAAGGAUAAAUAUAUUUCUUACGAGGAAAAUAAAUGGGAAAACUAAUUUUAUGCUCAAGUUAACAAAUACCAGAGAUACAAAAUUAUAUAUAGAAAAAAUUAAACCAUUUUUUGUGUGUAAUAGUUUAAUGUUAAGUGAAAUAAAUUUUAGGAAUAAAUAUUUACACAUAAUCACAUAAGGUACCAUCAAUCAUUCGAAGAAUAUUUUCAUACAUACAUAUUAUAAUCUCAAACCAUAAGCUAUAUAUGUUACAUUGUAUUUUGAUAAUUUUCCAAUUUAUUAUUAUGUGAUAUUUUAUUUACUGAUAUUAACGGUAUUAUGGUAUAUUACAUAGAUUCUUGAGAAGAAAAGAGUAGUUCUUGAGAUUGUUUUUAGUGUAAAAUAUUUUGAAAUGAAUUUUCCAAAAAUAAGACUAAUUUAGCAUGAAUCAAUCAAUUCUGAUUAUUUCAUUUCUUCUACAGGACUCAGUGUGAUGACUUCCCUCCCAUGUGCGUUGGUUUUAUGAAUCAUAAAAUGUAAUUAUUAUUAUUAUUAUUAUUGUUUAUUUUUAAACAUUUUUCAAUAAAAUUUACACCAUAUUAUCCCAAAAAUUUAUAAAGAAAGUUUUAGGACAUACAAAAUUUCAAUAAUUUUAAUUAAAAAUACCCUCUUCUUCUCCAUCACUACUGUCACACCAACAAGUGUCAUCCACAAUUAUUAUUUUUAUCAAUAAUAAAAAAAUAAGAAUAUUUUUGGAGUAAUAAAAGUGUCAUCCACAACAAUUUAGAUUGAAGUUGAGAGAAACUAAAAGUAUUUUUACUCUUAAGAUAAUAAUUAUUUUCUUUGUUUCCCUCAUUAAGUUUUAUUUAUUCUUUAUUAAAAUUCACCAAAAUACUUUUUAAAUUUUAAUAUUGAUUCAUAUGGAUUUUUUUAAUGAAAAAAACAUGUAAAUAAGUAACAUUUUGUAAUAUAUCACUAUCUGAUUAAAAACGACGAGUUUCUAAUUUUGAAACCCAAAGUUUAAAACUCAUUUCUUAUAACCGUAAUAUUUAUAUAAAAUUUCUAUUUACUUGGUCAAUAAGAAACUUGUCACUUUUAAUCAAAUAUUUUAUCCUGAUUAAUAGCUUAUUUUUCAACUGCUAACUUAAAACUUUACCAAAUAGUCUAAAAUCUAAAAUAUGUAAGCUUUAAUUCAACCAAUAGUUUAUUGGUAAGACAUUACUACAAGAAAUCAUGAAAUAAAAAUUAAUUUUAGAUAAAAAAUAAUAAUUAGUUGUUAUAGUAAAUAAAUUAAAGACCAUUUCGGAGAAAAAAAAAUUUGAUUUCUAAAUUAGUUUUUUAUUAUUGUUAAAUGAUUUAUAAAUUGGUAUCUAAUUAUUAACCAAAAUUUUUGCUACCAAAUUUAGAAUCUAAAUAAUUGGUAGUUAAAACUUGAUAGUUAAUUAGAUACCAAUUUAGAAACUAAUUAAUAAUAAUAUAAACUAAUUUAGAAGAUUUUUUUUUUAAUUUUUAAAAUAAUUUUUAAUUUAGUCACUAUAACAACUAAUUAUUUUUUAUUUAUAAAAUUAAUUUUUAUUUCAUGAUUUUGUUGUAGUGCAAGUAAAAGUGUUACAUAUUAUUAAAUAAUUGUUUUAUACUUGUUAAUCAGGUUUUAUUAUAGGGGGAAAAUAUAAAAUGGUUGAUAACAUACAUGUAAAUUCUUAAUUAAAAACAUAAAAACGAAAAGUUACACUUGCAUACGUAGUCAUCAACUGAAUAUAACUUGUUCAAAUUUACACUGAUUUUUUUUUGUAAAUAGAAUUUUUUUUUAAUAUAUAAAAUAAUGAUAUAUUGAUAAUUAAAUGUAAAUAUAUUAUAACAAAUAAAACAACUUCGUUUUUGUUGAUGUCAUGGUUAUAAGAAAUUCUCUAUCUGUUGCUUAGAUAAAUAACAAAUAUCUUUUUCGGUCAUUAAAGUGCUUCUCAAAUUAAGUCUAUAAAUGCUUCAUAGCCACAUAAUGUUGUCUCGGACCAUUUAAUAUGAACAAAUUUGAUAGCUACCAUUAAAUUGCUAUUCAAACCUAUGGAUGAGAAACAAUUAAUUAGUAUAUAUAUAGAAUUCAUAUAUUUUUUCUAUACACAUACAUUCUUCUCAUAGCAUCUUAGUCUUACAAAUUAAGAGUUAAAUAAGUGAUCUUACAGAUUAAGAGUUAAAUUAGAUAGUUUACAACUCAAAACUAGAUUAAAAUAAGGAAGUUCUCAUUCUACACUAUUUUUGCAAAAUGAUACAAAUUUAUGAUUUAACUAAUCAAAUAUCUUCACUUAUAAUUUAACUAAUCAAAUAUUUUCAUCUCAAUACUUUAUCUGAAGUUGAUAAAAUUGAUGUCAUACAUUCCCAACUUAUAUAAUAAUAUUCUAAAAGCUUUAAUUGUCAAAACUCUACUAAAAAUAUUUGUUUGGCAAUUGUAGAAUAUAGACGAUGUUUGGUUGAUAGAAUAUAUAUUGUAUAUGUGAGAGUUUUUCUCUCCAAUAUAUUGUUGGCAUGUGAUCUUCAAUUAGUGUCGUUCGAACCACCUCCAAUAGAUGAUGAUUCUUUUGUUCUGCCAUCUCAUUCUUUUAUGGAGUAUUUGCAUAGAUGAAUAUUUGACUACUAAAAAGUGUUUAAGUUUUGAUUGCAUAUAUUCUCCUUCAUUACCACUAUGCAAUUUGUGCUUUGUAUCAAGUCUAAAUUAUUUUGCAAAUUUUUUGAAAUAGUCCUCCAACUUUAUCUUUAGACUUCAUCAAACUUAAUCAACCAUUUGAGUACAAUCAUCAAUAAACAUUACAAAUCACAUUGAGUCACCCAACGUUGUAACCUUAAAUUGAUGCCAUACAUAAUAGUGAAUGAUUAGAAAAUGAAAAAUACUUUUAUUUGAAAUUAAAGAAAAAUAAAUUCUUUGACUCUUUGCAAGCUUAGAAAAAUCACAAUACAAAGUUAAGUGUUUAUUUGAUCAAAUACAUUUGGAAAUAAUUUAUCUAUGUGAUCAAGAGAUGCAUGUCCUAAACACUUAUGCCUUAACCAAAUAUCAUAAUCUUUUCUCACUUCUUGAGACUAUUUUGUUGUUAACAUUUGACCAAGUCUUUUUUAGUCUUUUCUGUCAAAUUCAGGAAAUACAACCUUCAUCGCUUAAUAACACAACUAAUCAUCUUCCUUGUUUAAAUGUCCUUAAAAACACAAUUGUCAAACCUAAAAAUUACAACACAUAAUAAAGUGUUAGUUAUUUGAGAGUCUAAAAAUAGGUUAUAUUUUAGUGAAGAAACAUUAAGGUUAAUAUCAAGGUUCAAAUAGUUUGAAAUUGCGACAAUUCCUUCUCCAAUGUGGACUAAACAACAAUUGAAGUUCUUUUUGAGUUCUUUCUUUGAUGCCCGACUGUGAUCCCACCACCUGGGAUAUCCUAUAUUUCAUAGCUUUGUUCAUUUGUGUGCUCAUUCUUAUUACACUUAGUAAUAUUUUAGUCACCAUUUCCAAAACAUUUUGAUUGUUUUGCUUGUUUCCUUUUCAUCAUAGCUAUGGAAUUAGAAAUUCCAUAAUAACAUGCCUCAAUUUGAAAAAGAAUUUGAUCAUAAAAAAUUGGUAGAUUUAUCAAAUUGGGGCAUUUUUUUUUAAAUUUAUCAAACUGCACAAAUUUUUAAAAAUGAUAUAAAUGGACAAUUCAUGUUUGAGAAACACGACAUCAAAAUAUAAGUCCUAUUAUGACAUCGUGUGGACCCCACUUCAUGUUGCAACUCCAUCUUCAUUCUUUAUUUUUCACCCAUGUUAGACUCCUUGAAUUGCGCUUCUAUACAAUAGACACGUGUAUUCUUUGUAGGUAGGAGAAAUUUUGUCUUUAUUAUUCUUUAUUCUUUGUUACAUUAUUCAUUAUAUUCUUAAAAAAAUAAGGCAUGCUUUAAUAGCAAGACUUCUGAAAUAUAAAAUAAAAUUUGAAAAUAAAAGCCGUGCAUUUAGCAUACAACUUCUUAAAUAAAGUUGCAAGAUUAAGUUUAGAAUCAAUACUUGAUAAACAAUAGACUUGUUCCCCUCUAAACUUAUAUAUGCAUGUAAAUAAUUGAGUAACUUGUAAGUAAUAUUGAUUUUUUUAUCAACAAGAAAGAAUAAAUAAAUAUGAACCUCUUCAGGAAUGGUCAAACCCUAUUACAAAUCAAAUCAGAAACAAUUCGCUACUCCCCUCAACCAAACUUAAGCUACUAAAUAGAGAAACAUAAUAACACCACACAAGCAUCUUACUCAAACUAAAAGCCUGCAAAGUCAUGGGCUUUUAAUCAUAAACAAACACGUCAACAGGUUUAGACACUAAUCCAACCAGGAAAAACAAAUGUGUGUAACUUUAGAUGUAAUCCAAUACCAAACCUUUAGUUGGACCAAAGAAAAAAUUUCAAAAUGAUCUAUGACUCCACCUUUAAAGAUGAAUUUAUUCCUAUGCCUCCAGAUCUCACCAACAAUUGCAAUCCAGACACUUCCCCAAAAGACAUUAAUAUAAGUUGGAACAUUACACAGUUUAAAGUGCAUAAAAUGUGAAACAGGAUCAAUAUGAUCUAUUGAUGCCACCCCAAGUCAAGCAUAACACUGGUUCCAAACUAACUAAGCAAUUCUAUAUUAAAAAAAUAAAUGCCUUGUGGUUUCCUUUGCCUCUCCACACAAACAAGACAUACUAUCAACCACAACCAUUUUUCUUAACAGAUUGACUUUAGAAGCAAUCAUGUUACCCAACAUUCUCCAGAUAGUAAAAUGAGUUGAGGGUAUAACUAAGAUCUUCUAAAAAGAUUCAAACACAGGCGAAUAAACCCUUCCAUAAGAACCCCUCAAUACAUUGUAGGUCGAACUAACCGUGUACCUAGUAGUCACACCACCCUUCUAAAUCCAACACUUUUCCUUAUCCAAGGAAAGACACAAUCCCUCAAGCACCUGUAGAAGCUGAAGUUCCUUACUCUUCUCCCAAUCGAACAAGCCUCUUCUCCAAACUAUAUCACACUUUCAAGACCCGUUAAGUCACUCCCCAAAAGGAGCCAAAUUUGCGUCUUUGCUAAUACUCAAAGAAAACAAUCUCAGAGAAAUCUUCAGUACCCACCCAAACAUCAUAUCAGAAUGAAGUCUCUCUGUAACUUAACAAUUUCCUUCAACACCGAAGAAGACAUUUUAUACAGAGAAACAUAGAACAACAGUAUAGACGAAAGAACAGAUUUAAUUAAACAAAUCCUUCCUACCAUCAACAAAAAUCUACUUUUGUACCUAUCCAGUCUAUUUUUAAUUCUAUCUACCACUCCAACCCAAAAUGCACAUCUCUUAUGACACCCCCACAAACAUCCCCAAAUACUUAAAAGGAAUAAUAUUAAUGUGUAUAUUUACCAAUAGAUUUUCUAUUUAUUUUUAUAAUUGUGCGGUUGGUUAGUCUAUCCUUUAAAAAUAACUAUUACUCUUCAAAUAAUAAACUGUAGUGAUAAAAAACAUUAAACAUAUGCCGCUAAUUUUCUGUUAAUAGAUGAACGAGUUUGUAAAGCAAUUGAAACAAGAUAAAUGUCGGUUUGAUUUUUUUGUUAUUAUAUUUUUAUAAUUGACAGAGUUUGUUUGAUAAGUAUUUUUACUAGAUUUUGAUAUUCUCCUAACCAAAUUUUAUUGCCUCUAGUAAAAGAGAUUAUAAUGAUGAAGUCAAUGACUAUAUGAAAUAAAUGAAAAACAUAUAAUCAUAAUUUCAUACGAGUUUUUAUUUAUUGUGAACAUGUUAUUAUACAAGUUUUAAUUAUUUUACCUUACAGUAAGUAAUAAGUCAUCUCUUAAAACAUUAUGGAUGUUUAUAAAAAAUUUCUAUGAAUAUUUAUUGAGAAAAAAAAAGUUAUCCAUAAGUUAUAAUUAAUUUAUCAACAAGUUAAAAUAUCAUAUAGAUAAACUACAUGAAUUUUUUAUAAAACUUAAUUUAUACCUAAAUAGUAAAAAUAUUUAAAAUAUAUGAAAUAUGAAUAUUUUAUUAAUUUAGUUACAGAAAUUUAUAAAUAAAAUUUUUUAAUUAUUGAAACUUUAUUUAAUAAAAAAAUUGUCUUUAUAAAUAUUUUUUUUUCUUAAUUUUUUAACUGUUUCACUUGUCCUUUUCAAUAUUCUGUCCUACUGACACAAGUAAAUAAUUUUUUUUCUCUCCAUAAUGUAAUGAUCAAUUUUGUGUUUAAAGUAUUUUCUCUCUCCAUUCUCUUGGUUUGGUUGUAUGUUGAGUGAUUUGCAUGGGUAAGGAUAUGUGUUUGCAUAUGUAAUGUUGUGGGUAAAUAUGAAUCUAUACUAGUAUACUAGUAUAAUUGUAGUGAUACUUUCAGUUUGUUGAUUAAAAAUUGAUGUGAGUAUGUUUAAGCAUUUUGUGUUAAAGUAUUAGUUGGAGCUUUGUUUGGAGUUGCUAAAACUUUAAGUGAGAAAUGUUAAUUUAAAGUUGAUACCAUAUUAGAGUGAAAGACUUGGAUUAUGUGGAUAUGACUUGGUCACAAUGAUGAGUUUUGUGUAGGAAAAUUGUAUGGAUGUGAAUUUUUUAGAUUGUUGUAUACCAAGACAUAAAAAUACAUGAACAUGAUAAUUUUAAGAUUUUGAUGGUGAUUUUUUUAUUGUGGUAGUUGUAUGUGGUUUUCAAUAGGUAUCAAUGUGUUUGGAUAAAUAUAUGAAUUUGUGAACAUGCUUAAGUUGGUGGAAAUCGUUAGUAAUUUUAUAAUGGAAAUUAGAAAUUAUAAAUGAAAAACCUUAUGAUUUUGAGAUAUUUGGAUUUAAGCUUGUUGAAUGUUGUGUAUUUUUUAGAUUAAGAUGUAGAAUGUAGUGAGCUUAAACCAAUUUGAUCCUUGUUAAGUAGGAAAAUUGAUGGAAAUUACUUAUUUUUAAAGGUUAGAACAUGUUAGUUUUGAUUGUGUCAUUAUGACACAAGUAUUACAUGUUAUUGUAGGUAUUUAAUUUAUGCAUUUCACUCAAGCGAACUUUGGUCACUAUGCGAAAAUGCAAUUGUGACGAAGGCUCAAUUCACGGUGAUCUUUGAUCAAGAGAAAUUUUUCCAAGAAAAAGGUUUGAUAUAACUUAGUUUAUGCUCGAGUGAAGUUUUUUUUUUUCCGCUCAAGCAAGGGUAAUCAAGUGAAGGUUUUUAGCACAAGUAAAAAUAUCCCAAGGAAAAGAUGUUUAAUACAAAUUAGAUUUUGUUCGAGUUCGAUUUCUCUUGGUCAAGUGAAUUUUUUUUUUUUGCUUAAGCUAAAAUUCUAAAUUUUUGUUAAUACUUUAAAAGGGUGUUUCUCUAAUUAAACGAACAUGGUUAAAAAAGUACUAAAUUAUAUGUUUAAUUGAUUUGUUUGAUUUUAUUAGAUGAAUUAUGUUGUAUAGAAAUAUAGUUGUGAAGUGUAAAAUGUGAUUUGAGGUUGACGAUGUAAUGUAGACAAGAUGUUUAUCAAAGAGGUAACACUGUUUAUUUAUAAUGAUGAAUGUAUUAAUUUUGAGAUGUUUGUGAAAGAAUUAUCUUGACUGUAAUGUUUACCAAACUCACAAAGGAAAUUAUCAUAUAUUAAGAGUCAAUGAAGAUUUUUACAAAUCAACUUGGAAUGUAAAAAAUAAUUGUCUUGUAAGUCAUAAUAAUUUAUCAUAUCAUAAAGUGGAUAAUGCUCAUUACUUAUGAUAUAAUAUUUAAUAAAAGAAUAAUGUUACAUGUACAAAAUCUUCUAUAUUUAAAUUCAACGCAUGUGCUUUUUAGAAGUUAUCAAUUGCAGACAAACUUAAAAAAAAUGUUUAAAAAAAUGAAAUUGUGAUGUUGAUUAGAUAGAAAUUGAUAUCUAUAAAUUUUGGCAUGAGAUAAAUAUAUAAUUAAGUUUUAUUAUAUGCUAAUUAAUGUGUUUGAUGUGAAUAGAUAAUUUAUAGUUAUAUAAAUAAGAAGGUGAUAUGAAAGAGUGAUUAAUUAAAUGGAGAAAUCUUAUUCAUAAGCAACACUUGCCAUAGAAUGUGCAUUUGGUUUCAUUCAAACACUACAUUACAUUCUCCUUCUUUACAUCUUUCUAUUCCCUCAUCCCGCAAAACCCGUCCUCACUUUUGCUUAUCUAAUAUGUUCUUUCAUUUUUAUGUUUUUACCCUAAAAACAAUAUUAUUUAGUUCAAAAGGUUAAAAAGAGGAGAAGGAGUUUUAAGUAAAAUGAAAAUGGAUGAAAAUAAAAUCUAUAAAUAUUGAAAAAUAAGAAAGAUUGAAGUAAAAUUCUAUUUUUUUUUUCUCAUUCCUCUUGAAUAGAAUCUAAAAAUUAGACAUUUGUAGAUUCUCUUUUUAAAGUUAGUAAUAUAUGAUACUAUUUUAUUUAUUUAUGUUAGGUUAUUUUGUUUUAAGGGUGUGUUUGAAUUUAUGUUAAAACAUCCAAAUCAAUUUCCAUUUUUUUUAUUAAAUAUUGUGUUAAUAUGUUUGGUAAUUUUUCUUUUGAUUCUGUUAGAGCUCAAAUUUAUGAGAUUUCAAUAAUUUUAAAAAUUAAAAUACAUUAAUAAUUUUUAGUUCUAGCUAAAUUCAUUUCAAUUUAAUUUAUUAACUAAAAUUCAAUUUUUUUUUAUAUUUAUUUCAUUCUAGAUGUUUAGUAACACACUAGUAUUAAUAUAUUUUUUUUCUCCCUUUCCACUUACGUGAUAGAUUGAUAUGUUUGGAAGACUAAAAUCUAGUGUGUCUUUCUAAAAAACUAAGUUAUGCCUGCAAAAAUAUUUUUAGAAUUAAAUAUAUUUUUGUCUCUAUAUUAUAGUAUGAAACUGAUUUUUUUUAAUUUAAAUUUUAAAUCUCUUACAUAUUUGUAAUAAAAAGAUUAUUAAAAUAAAUCUUUUUAUUAGUAUUUUUUAAGUAAUAAACAAACGAACAAAUUUUCAAUAUAGGUGGUAUAAAAAAUUGUUAAAAACUUAUUUUAAUAACUUUUUUAUUACAAAUUCAACUGAUUUAAAGUUUGUAGAAAAAAAACUAAUUUAACGUUGAAGUAUGAACUAAAAAUAUAUUUAUCUUUUUUUUUUAUAAUGGUUCUGUUUGUAAAUUAUAACUCAAAUGACUUGUUAAUAUUGUAAAAUAUUUGGCACACUAACAGGGUAUAGAAAUUAAAUUUUUAUUUAUAGUUUGAUUUCAUAACAAAAAAACAAUUUUUUCAUAAGAAACUCAUUAAUACACUUUUCCCGUCGUUUUGAGUUAACUCCUCCUAAAGGCCUAACAUGGUCAAUUAAUAAGAAAUCUAAUAAUUUUAAUAUUCAAAGUGUUUUUUUUUUGUUGUUAUAUGACAACUGUAAUUAAUGAAUAUAUUCUAAUUAAAUAUAUAAUGAUUAUUCAAGGUCAUUUAUUUCUCAUACAGUGUACUUUUUAGGUUAAAUAUCUCAGCUAUUAAUAAAAAACAAUAAAUUUUCAUUUAAAGAAUACACACAUUAAUAUGUAAUUGAUUUACUCAGUAAAUAGCUUCAGCACAAAUAGAAAUAGGUGAUUGAUAUAAAUAAGUUAGCAUAUUUUUAAAGUCUAAAAUUUAUUGUAACAAAUAGUUUUAAAGUUAUUUCACUAUAUUAAUAUUUUUAAUUUAAAUAAAAAUGUUUUGCAUAAAAAAUAACACAGAAUAAAUCUAGAAAAGGGUGUUAGUAGCAACAUUUUUCUAAAACAAAUUAUUAAUUAUUUUUCAUGUAAAUUUUACUACUCAUAAAAUAUAACCACUCGGCAUAUUUAGUAAAAUUUGCAUAUAUUUUAUCUUUUUAAUAGAGACAAGCAUUUUCCACAAUAUUAUUUAAGUUGAAUAAAACAAAAGGUGAAAUUUUCUUACUUUAAAAUGAGACUAUAAUUUAAAUUUAAUCAAUCUCACAUGAAUUGAUUCAAGUGUGCCACAGUGGAUAAUUUCAUCAAACUGUACAAUAAUUCGUUUCCUUUUUUGGAGAAAAACCAAACACAAGUGAAGAAGGGCCUUUUUGCCAUUCUCACAUUCAUUACAACCUUAACCAAACAUUAAUAUUUAAUAAACCCCCCUUGUCCCCUGCCAAAUUACCAAACCAUCCUUUCUCAGCUAGUGCAUCUUUUCCAAGCAUAAAAAAUGAACAAUAAAAUAAAUAAUUAAACCUUUAUAAUUAAUUAAUUAAUUAAUUUGUAACAUUUUAAUUAAUUUUUUAAAAAAUAGGAGUCAUGCUUUGGAAAUGUCUUCUCAUUUCUUUUCAGGAGAGUUUCUUUCUGCUUUUGCUUAUUAUUUAAUUUAAUAUUCCCACAUAAUAAAGGGUUUGUUUUCAAUUUCUGUUUUUAUUUUUUUUUUCUUCUCAUUCUUUCUUCUUCUUUUGACUAGUUGUACUUUUACAGGCUCGGAUACUCUCUCUCUCUAAAACUCUUUCUCUCUCCUCUGUCCCCUCCACCCCCUCUUUGGCGACGCCGCCGGAACCCGCAUUCUUCGCCGGAAUUUUUCAUCUGGCGCCGAGAAACACCUUCUUCUCACCCUCCAACCGAACCGGGUUGCUCGAACCCGUUUUGUUUUCUCACCCGGUCCAAGUCUUUGCAUGAGUUGAAAAGUUUGCGUCUUUGACUUGGAACUGCGAAUGAGGCUAGUGGGAUUUCGGGUUCUGUGAAAAGGAAUAGAUCCGCGAAGGUUUUUUGGCAUUUUGAGUGGGAAUAAGAAGUGGGUUUUUAUCUUCAGAGAGAGAAAGUGAAGAGAGAGAAAGCGAGAGGCUGAGGUCGAGGUUUAUGAUGUACGGAACUUUGUGCAGCGAUCGUAGAGGGUGGUGGCGUUUCGGUGAAUCUCUCACAUGGAAUGGCAGAUCUUGUUAGCUACAGGAAUGCCGACCGUGACAUCGACCAAGUCAGUUGCUUGUUUAAUAUCACAGUUUUGUUUUUUUGAGUUAAAUUUUGAUGCUUGCUUUAAGUGUUUGGUAGAAUUUUGGGAACUGUUUUUGUUGAAGGUUUUUUUUUUUGGGAAUGUGAUGAUUGUGAUCAGGUGCGUGCGUGUGUGUGUAUCUUUGUUGGAAGUGAUUGGGAAAUUUGUGGGAGGUGAGGGUAUGGGAGUGAAGACAUGGUGGGGGAAUAUAUGUAUGGAGACUAUUUUGUUAUGGGGAUGCUGGAAUUGGGAUGAGAUUUUGAUUAGAGACUUCAUAUUGUUAUGGUUGUGAAUUGAGUCUGUGAUCCUUUUGAAGAGGUUAAAUGGGGUUUGGUUGAUUAGUGAAUUGUUGCUUUAUCAACUGCCAUGGAAUAUGGGUGUCUUGAAGAGGAGAGAUUAGGUAUGCGUGUCUGUGUUUGAAUUAACAGAUGAGACGCCAGAUAUUGUGGCGGACUUGGUUUAGGUUGUUAGUACCAAUAGGAGGCAAGUGCUAAUAGGGUAUAUGUUUUAAUGAUGAAAGUUUGAUUCAGCACCUUAUGAAAAUGUUUUGGAUAGUUUGAUAUGGGAUAUCGAAGCUUGCGUCACUGUUGUUGUAUUGGUUGUAGUAACUACAUGGAAUAUGGCCAAAUUAGUGAUUGUCUAGUGAAAUUGAGCAUCCGAUUAGUGCUGUUUGCUUGGACAAUAAUGAUAGUGGUCCCAGAUAUAUAUGUGACCUGUACAAUAUUUUCAACCAUCAAUCUGGGUUAAAAAUAUUAAGAAGGCAGAGAGAGAUGUUUCUUGGAGAAGCCUAAUGUUGUAAAUCAUUGCUGGAUAUUUUAUGAAACUUUCACAACAUUUAUGCUACAAGAUGCCUUGAUCAUUGUUAUUUCUCAUUUCUCCACAUAAUUUGUAUUUUUUAUGUAAAUUAUUGUUUAUAUGUUCAAUCUUUUACUUUUUCAUUCUGCAGGCAUUGAUUGCUUUGAAAAAGGGCGCUCAACUACUUAAAUAUGGUCGUAAGGGAAGGCCUAAGUUUUGUCCGUUUAGACUUUCCAAUGUAAGUUAAAUGAAAUCCAUCCUUUUCAGGAAAGUGUUAGUGAAUUCUCUAAUUUUCUUGCUUCAUUAGCUUUCUGGAUUGGACUGUACUUAACUGUUUAUAUGCUCAAUUCAAAAUACUCUGUGAAAGAUAGGGGCUUUGGCAUGGUAGCUGAUGCUAUAUGAAAAAUAUUGUAUCGAAAGCCUAUUAAUUUGUACUUGUAAUGCUUUUAUCAGCACUGUUAUUAUGCAGUCAAUCUAUUUUUUUUUUGCCCUGCUUACUAGAAAUGUUGUAUUUGAAAAUUUUGUUUACAAUAACGUUCAUUGAUACAUGUAGCUGCCCAACAACUUACAGUAAGUGUUGAACUAACGAUAUCAAAUGUCAAUGGGCCAAACAAGGCACUAUUCUUCUAUUGGAUUAGAGUCUGUCAUACUGUGGUGUUUUGUGUUUCUAUGUUAACUGGGGGUGACUAUUUAGUUGUAAUCUCUGACCAAGUAUUACUAUGGGGCUUGCUCCUAAUCUCUUCAUGUCCAUUUCUUUCCUUUCUUUUAUUGGUACUACGAACUAACUGUGCUGGACUGCAUCAUAAUUAGAUGGUUCAAUUUGAGGCCUUCUAGUAUGUCAUAUAAAAAGGUUUGCUUGGCCAAAAUCAAUACUUUCCUGAAUCCCGAGAAUUCUUUGGUUCAUUCUCAGAGGAAGGUUGCAGGUCAUUAUUAUUAAUUUUCAAUACUAUUUCUAUGUCCACAAUUUGGUAAUUUAGCACAGGCCUUUUGGUUUGUAAAGCAAUGAGGUCAAGAGUUUAUGUGGUCCAAUGGCAGUUUGUUGGUUUUUGUUGCCACAUUCUGGGUUUGGUAUAACCAGUUGAGGUGAUCAGUAGUUAAACUGGACGUGAAUAAAACCUCAAUUUUUUUGUUUGAUUUGGAUCAGAUUUACUGACUCUAUGCUCAAGUGGUAUCAUUCCUCACUCUGGUGCUAACUACCAACUAAUAGUGAUUUUGUAGCUUUAAUUUUGGACAUAUGUUUCUUAUCUGAUGCAUGCUAUUACAGUCGUAUUCAUGAUUGUUGAUAAGAAUAUUUUGUGUUGCUUCCUUGGCUGUAAUUUGUAGAGUAUAAACUUAACAGAUGUGUAUAUAGUAGGCUUGGUUUUGACACUAAUUUGAGUUAUUUCUAAUUCUACUCAUUCAAAUAUCUGAAAACCACAGGAUGAAUUGACUUUAAUCUGGAUAUCAAGCAGUGGAGAAAAAAAUCUGAAACUAUCUUCUGUCUCAAGAAUUAUUCCUGGACAAAGAACUGUGAGAUUUCUACAGUACUGUUUUAUGUCAUACUGACGAUGACGCCUUAGCAUCCUUUUCUAUUAACUCAGUGAUAUCCCAGAAGAAACUGAUAUAUAUAUAUAUAUAUAUAUAUAUAUAUAUAAACUAUUUCUCCUCUUCUAUACAAUUAAUUUGCCUUCUCUUCUUCUGUCAGGCUGUUUUCCAAAGAUAUCUGUGUCCUGAGAAGGAUUAUCUUUCUUUUUCACUUAUUUAUAACAACGGGAAGCGAUCCCUUGAUCUGGUUGGUGAUGAAUUCUGAAGUUCCUUGGAUGACUACAACAUGGUUUUGUUUCUAUUUUCUGCAUUUAUCAUUGUUAUAAAAUGUUUUAUGUUGUGUUUCAGAUUUGCAAGAAUAAAGUUGAGACUGAAGUGUGGAUUUCUGGUCUCAAGGCACUGAUAUCUUCUGGUCAAGGUGGGCGUUCCAAAAUUGAUGGAUGGAGUGAUGGAGGCCUCUAUCUUGAUGUAAAAACCUAAUUGUUGUCUUUGUAAUUGUCAUGUUUCUUGUACUUUGACAUAGACUGAGAAAGAUAAUAUAGAUCACAGAUCUUACUCUUGAUCCAGUAAUGGUGUGUUCAUCAUUUUCAUUGAAAUAAAUAUUUUGGAUGAUUUAUGAUAAGGGGAACUCAUUGGUUUUCUGCUUCAUUAAAAGAGUAUAAUUGUUUCCUCUGAGCAAGGUUAAUCUUGAUUUUAUGGAUUAGCUCUUACCCUGGAAACAUUAUUCUGCAGUUUUCUGAAACAAAGUGCUAUUCGCCCUUGCUCUUCUUUGGACACAAUUUAGGAUUUGUUGAUUAUGGUAUUUGGGAAUUAUGGACUGAAAUAUAGGUUUUCCAAAAUGCCUCUAUUUUUCCUCAUACAUUACUAUUAUUAUACUGUAUAAUAGCUUCAUUGGUAAAAUACAUGGACAACUUUGUAUAAUUCUUUCUGGCUCAAUUAUUUUCAGGACAGUAGAGACUUGACAUCAAAUAGUCCUAGUGAAAGUUCAGUGAGUGCUUCACGAGACAUCAGUUCUCCUGACAUUUCUGUUAGUCUGGCAAAUACUUCCCCACAAUCCUUUCACUCUGAAAAUACUGUAAAUUUUGAAAGAUCACAUGCACCAUCAAACCCAUCAAAUAUGCAAGUGAAAGGAUCUAGUUCAGAUGUUUUUCGUGUUAGUGUCUCAAGUGCCCCCAGCACAUCUAGUCAUGGGUCUGCACCUGACGAUUAUGAUGCUCUUGGGGAUGUAUACAUAUGGGGAGAGGUUAUCUGUGAGAAUGUUGUGAAAGUUGGCGCUGAUAAAAGUGCUAGUUAUUUCAGCCCAAGGACGGAUGUUUUACUCCCCAGGCCACUGGAGUCGAAUGUGGUUUUAGAUGUGCUUCAAAUAUCAUGUGGUGUUAAGCAUGCCGCUUUAGUCACAAGGCAGGGUGAACUUUUCACAUGGGGUGAAGAAUCUGGAGGACGCCUUGGCCAUGGUGUUGGGAAGAAUGUGAUUCAACCUCGCCUAGUUGAAGCAAUGACUUCUGCAACUGUUGAUUUUGUUGCCUGUGGGGAGUUCCAUACCUGUGCUGUUACGAUGUUUGGGGAACUAUAUACAUGGGGUGAUGGUACUCAUAAUGCUGGGCUUCUUGGCCAUGGAACUGAUGUUAGUCAUUGGAUACCAAAGAGAAUUGCAGGUCCACUAGAGGGGCUUCAAGUUGCUUUAGUCACCUGUGGUCCAUGGCACACAGCCUUGAUAACUUCAACUGGUCAGCUCUUUACAUUUGGGGAUGGAACAUUUGGUGUCCUCGGCCAUGGAGAUAGGGAAAAUGUAUCGUAUCCAAGAGAAGUAGAAUCCUUGUCUGGGUUGAGGACAAUAGCUGUUGCAUGUGGAGUGUGGCAUACUGCAGCUGUUGUAGAGGUUAUUGUGACUCAAUCAAGUGCUAGUGUAUCGUCAGGUAAAUUGUUUACAUGGGGUGAUGGAGAUAAAAAUCGUCUUGGACAUGGAGACAAGGAUGCUCGACUUGAACCAACUUGUGUACCUUCACUUAUCGAUUACAAUUUUCAUAGAAUUGCUUGUGGGCACAGUUUGACAGUAGGGCUGACAACGUCUGGUCAAGUUUUUACAAUGGGAAGCACGGUUUAUGGUCAGCUUGGGAAUCCCCAGUCUGAUGGAAAGCUGCCAUGUUUGGUUGAAGACAAGCUUGCAGGAGAACCUGUUGAAGAAAUUGCAUGUGGCGCUUAUCAUGUUGCUGUUUUAACAUGCAAAAAUGAGGUUUACACUUGGGGGAAGGGUGCAAAUGGGAGAUUGGGUCAUGGAGAUGUUGAAGAUCGAAAAACACCAACUUUGGUUGACGCCUUGAAAGAUAGACAUGUGAAAUAUAUUGCAUGUGGUUCAAACUACUCUGCAGCAAUAUGCCUUCAUAAGUGGGUAUCCGGUGCUGAGCAGUCUCAGUGCUCUGCUUGUAGACAGGCAUUUGGGUUCACUAGAAAGAGGCACAACUGUUAUAAUUGUGGACUAGUGCACUGUCAUUCAUGUAGUUCUAGGAAAGCAUCAAGAGCUGCACUGGCUCCAAAUCCUGGAAAGCCUUAUCGUGUAUGUGAUUCUUGUUUCGUAAAAUUGAACAAGGUUGCAGAAUCAGGCAAUAAUAAUCGGAGGAAUGCUCUACCUCGUUUGUCAGGUGAAAACAAGGACAGAUUGGAGAAGGCUGACCUAAGAUUGACCAAGACAGCUGUCUCUUCUAAUAUGGAUUUGAUAAAGCAGCUUGAUAGUAAGGCAGCCAAACAGGGGAAGAAGGCUGAUACAUUCUCUCUGGUUCGCACCUCACAACCACAAUCUUUGCUACAGCUUAAAGAUGUUGUCUUGUCUACAGCUAUUGAUUUGAAGCGAACUGCUCCUAGACCUGUUCUGACACAAUCUGGAGUGAGUUCCAGGUCUGUGUCUCCAUUCUCUAGAAGACCAAGCCCCCCUCGUUCAGCCACACCUAUUCCAACAACAUCCGGGCUUUCCUUCACAAAAAGUAUUGCCGAUAGUUUGAAGAAAACAAAUGAGCUUUUAAAUCAGGAAGUAUUGAAGUUACGUGCUCAGGUAUAUUAUUCUUCCCCCAUUUUUGUCAUGUCAAUCAAAUUGAAGUUAGCUGCUUUAAUAGCAUAGAUUUUCUCCUUUUUAAAUUUUCUUCCCUGAUACUGAUUUUGAUGCUUUAUGCUUAUAUUUACUUGUUAUGGAAUCUAACAUAAUUUUUGUUAGGUUGAGACCCUGAGACAGAGAUGUGAAAUGCAAGAAUUAGAGCUUCAAAGGUCAUCAAAAAAGACUCAGGAGGCUAUGGCUCUGGCUGCUGAGGAAUCUGCCAAAUCUAAGGCUGCAAAAGAAGUUAUAAAGUCACUUACAGCACAGGUUAAUUUUGGGUUAAUUUACUUUUCUUGGAGGUAUUACUGUUCUACACUUAUGCUUAUCAACCUGCCACAUUGUUUCACUUUCAGCUCAAAGAUCUGGCUGAGAGGCUUCCUCCUGGCGCUUAUGAUGCUGAGAGCAUCAGACCAGCUUACCUGCCAAACGGUCUGGAGCCAAAUGGGAUUCAUUAUCCAGACAUAAAUGGUGAGCGUCACACCAGGGCUGAGUCAAUCAGUGGCUCUAGUUUGGCUUCCAUUGGACUUGAAUCAUCCCUGAUGAGCAGAACCGAAGGCAUUUUGACUGGAAGCUAUGGAGCUAAUAUUUACCAGCAAAACCGGGGAUCUGUAACCUCUAAUGGGACAGAUGAUUACCCGGAUGUUAAAUUGCCAAAUGGCAGCAGCGUGAUUCAGACAGGUGGUAGUACUGUGUCUGAUACUGUUGAUGGUAGGGAUUCUGGAAAUUUUCAAGAUGAUGAGAGUGGUUUGAGAUCAAGGAAUGCCAUGAUACCUGCUAAUAGUAGUCAAGUUGAGGCAGAAUGGAUUGAACAAUAUGAACCUGGUGUCUAUAUAACACUCGUCGCCCUGCGUGAUGGAACAAGAGAUCUGAAACGAGUGCGGUUCAGGUAAUAGAAACAGUUCUCCUUAUUUACUGGAUAUGUUUAUAUGGUUCUACAAAUAUAUAUGACUUCCAAGUGUAGACAGCCUCCAAUAGUAGUAUACCAGUGAUAAUUUUCAAUAUGGUGCUUGGGAUUUAAAGACUUGUAAAUAAUUCUGUUUUUGGUGCCAACUCUGCAUGUGAAUAUCUUUAACUAGGUCAAGAUAUUGGUUAGGCUGAUUUCUAAACACAUGAUUGUUGUUGGUUUAAACUAGGAAGUCUUAGUUAACUUGCAUGUCUAACAUGUUUGGUGGUGAAUGUGUGCAGCCGGCGAAGAUUUGGAGAGCACCAAGCUGAGACUUGGUGGUCGGAGAACCGCGAUAGAGUAUACGAAAGGUACAAUGUUCGAAGCACCGACAAGUCUUCCGGCCAAGCUGCACGUAGGGCAGAUGGUGCUGGUUCACCUGUUUUAUAAUCAUAGGGAAGUAGAUGGAGGGAAGUUCUCCAUUAACACUUUUUGUUGCAGUGAGCUUUGUAGGAAUCAAAUAUCAAUAUGAAGGAACCAGGCAUACCUUUUGAGUUUUAUUGUCUAUCCUUUUUCUCUUCAAAUAUUUUUGUUCCCUCACCUUUUUUUCUCUCUCAAGUGAAAUGUCUUCCAUUUUAUUUGGGCAAGUGCCCUUUACAUAUCAGUUGUAUUGUAGUGUAUAUAAAAUCAUCAGUUGAGAUAACCUUCCUAUUUUCUUGGUUUUUUUCUCCCCGUUGCACCUUUUUUCUUACCUCAAUAUGUAUACCUCAGAAUAAAAUGUAUGCGUGGUGAUUUUGUUGUAAAUUAUUAUUUAAUUAUUACUACAGGGAGUACAUUUUGUACUCUUAGUUGUUAAAGAAAAAGGUUUCUUGGUUAUGAAAACACACCUUUGAUGUUGCUAUCACUACCAAGAUAACACAUAAGUGUUGUUGUGUUAAGGUUUAUGUAGCAUAUAUACGGACAUUGGUGGGAUAGGUAUAAUUUCUCAAAUGUAGGAUAUUAGGAUAUGAAGACAGAGAUCUAUAUAUUAUAUAAUUAUGAAUUAUAUAAAUUGACAAUAGAGAUUUAAGUACAUUAAGUAUGUUUUAGUUUUUUUCUAAGUGGUUGGUUCGAAAAGAUUUGUUUCUUAUUUUUAUAAUCAUAAUAAAAAUUUAUACUAUAAGUUUUAGUUUUUAAAAAAUUAAUGAAUUUUUCUUUUUUAAAUUUGUGUUAGACUCAUACUAAAAUUGUUAAAAAUCAAAUAAAUAUUUUUUGAAUUGGGCACUCCUACGAGUGUUGUGUCUGAUACGUGUGUUUGACACAAACACGUCAUUUAAGAUGAGUGUCCAAACUUCAUAGGUUAGGGUACGAAAUCAAUGGAACUAAAUUGUAGAUUAACUCUUCCCUUGAACCAGUCUAAAAUAAAAUUUUAUCCCUUUUUACUUUUGAUAAUGUUGCUUUUAUAGAUAAUUUAGGGCUUGAAUGAAAUCUGGAAAAUUCACGUAAAUUGGUAAUAAUUUGGUGAAUUGGUAAUAAUUUGGAGGUUAGUUGAGUUUUUUAAAAUCUCGGUAUUAGUGAUAAUUAUUCUACGAAUAUAGCUACGGAUUUUUUCUGCACAUAUACAUACUCAUGGGUCUCCCCUAAAUUCCUGCACAAUUAUAUUAUAAUUUUUUAAAAUUUGUUAACUCAAUUUAUUUCAUAAAAGAGUAACAUUAAGCAUAUUUCUAAUAAUUAUAAAAUAUUAAAUAUAAGUUUAAUUUUCCUACUCUAAUCAUUUUUAAAAAAAUAUGAAUUUAUUUACAGGCUCGCCACCUUUCUAAUAAAAAAGCCUGCAAUUAUUAUAUAUCAUCCAGUGCCAUAAGUGAACGUGAAGUUGUGACUUUUACAGAGUUUCUUUAAAAGGAAAAAACCCCAAACAAAAAACAAUAGUCACUUGGUGCUAGAAAAGAUAUAGUAAUGAGUGUGAAAUCUUUCUCUGAUAACUAAUACAAUUUCUUAAUUCAUCCUUCAUAGCGAUAUGAAAUCUUUGGAGAAUCAUAUAUAGUUUGUCUCCUCUGCUUGGAACAUUGCCUUACUAACUACACCUCUUAGCUCUCCAUUAGAGGACAUAAUCCAUAGAGAAUAAAAUAAGUUACCUUCAUUCAUGAGGUAGAAGACAUGAACAACACAACAAACCUUUUCUGCAAAGGUACACAUUUCUAGUUUAAUAUUAUCAUGCAUUCUUGUCAUUCUUUUGCAUAAGAUUCAGAAAAGAGGUCAUUGUAAUGAACAAGAGACACCUUUAUGAAUCAUGAAUGAAGUCAACUUUUUAGUUCAAUGGCGGUCAAUAAGAUUCUUGACUUUAUUGGUUUCAUGGUUAGGUGCAUGGUGGAUUCGAAUAAAUAGAUAGGGAAUUCAAUGAAGUAUCUGAAAAUAUUAAACACACCAUAAUAAAACAAUUUGCAAUCUUCAUCUUUAAAGUAAUAUUUUAUUUUAUCACUUUAUUACGAAGUGCACUUUAGCUUAACUCAAUUUCAUAAAAUCAGUUCAUGGAGUAAGGUUUGCACCUACUUACAUACAAUGAAAUAUUUUUAUAUCUAGUCGAUCUGACAUCUUCAACACACUUUUUUUUUUUUGAAAAGUAGAUUAUUUUUUAAAAGUACAAUUAAGUAUCUUUGAACUGAGCCAUAGUUGUAAUUAAUACAAUAAAUAUUAAGGUUUUCAUAUGUAUAAUAUUCAAAGGGAGAAACUGGAAACAUAUUUAUUCAUAUGUUAUUUAAUUUAUUUACUAUAUAAUGUAAAAUUUCAACUCACAUUUAAAUACGUAAAAAAAAUCUCAAUUUAGUUAUAUAUACAUAUACAUAUAUAUAUAUAUAUAUAUAUAUAUAUAUAGUAGGUACAGAACAUUAAAAACACUGACAAUGAAACUAGUUCUUACAUGAAAUCACCACUUUCACUUUUGACUGCAAGGUACUACACUGAGAAAGAAACCAAGCUUUUGUUUCACCAAAACAAUUGAAGUAUGAGUCGUUUAGUUCUCUUAAUUAAUUACACAAGGAAUGUUAAAAGUUUUAAUUUCUAGACAUUAAUAAGUUUGAUAUAGUUUUUAUAUUUUUUCUUUAAAAAAAAUAAGUUGUGCAUUGAAAAUAUAAAACAAUUUUAAAAUAUAUAACUAAUAACGAAUUACAUAUAUAUGAUAAGUUUGUUUAUAUUUAUAAGAAUUAUUUUUAAAAUUAUAUCAAUAAUAAUUUUUCGAUUGGCUUACAAACUAAACAAAAUUAUACGCAACGUAAUAACUAAACUCUUAUUUUAAAAUAAAAGUGCAAUUUACUUCGAGACAUUAUAUUAGGCAAUGUUUGACCAGUUUUAUUUUGAACUUCCCAUUAGAAUAAGUCAGGUCAAGUAACCUUUUAAGAAAACGAUAUUUAAAAAAAAAAAUAUAAAAUCCUAGUAAAAGUAAAAGUUAGUUUUAAUAUCUUUCGACUUUUUUCUCAUUUAAAAAAUGUCAAUAUUAAAAAAUUUUAACAUGAACCUAAAAAUAACUUUUAAGGCACAUUUAUUAAAUUAUUAUACUUUCUUAAUUUAGUAAUUCUUUGAUAGAUUUUUAUUUUUUUUUUACUUGCAGUUUCAAUUUCGAUUUUUAACUUACGCUAACAAAGUUUAGAAAACAUAUUGAUAUCAUUGUAACACUGUUUAAAUUGCUCAGACAAUUUUUUUUCUUGGAUACUGAAAGGUUCAUUUUAAAAAAUAUAUUUUUUCACUUAUGUUUGAGUUUGGUAUUUAAAUAACCAGAAGAUAGUUAAAGAAUUUUGCUUAAAGUGGUGAAGAAAAAGUGGAAACAAAUUCCUUAUGAAGACAAAGUUUCAAAAUUUGAGUAGCCAUCCUUAUUAAUGGCUCUCACAUGGCUUCAAAGCUAGGUCUGAAAUCAUGAUAUGAUGAUUUGACAUGAUUUGAAACAGUUUACCCACCCUACACAAUUAACAUUUUAUGGGACUAAUUAACAUUAGUUUUACCAUGUUGUAUAUUUUGUUUUGUCCUAUAUAGUUGCAAUUGAGACUUGUUGACGUUAUCCACACCAACUUAGACAUAAUUACAUUCAUUCUGUAGACAUAAUCAUUGCACAAUUUUUCCAAGCUCCUAAAACUUUCAGUGCACAAGAUUACGAAACUUUUAACAAAUAAACUUUGCAAUUAUAAAUAAAAUAAAACUUUAAGUGAUCCUUGAUUAUCUUGAAAUUAUCAAAAAUGGCACAAAUCACACGUUGGAUUUUGAAGCAGUGUAGUGGAGGAUGGCUAAGAAAUGCAGUCCUCGUACGAGCAUUUAUUAGCUACUAACUAAACCAAAUGAAAACGCUAAAAAUGGACGAUUCUCACGUCAUUUCCCGAAAGUUUAUGAGAAUGUGUGGUCACUCAUAGCUACAGUAAUUAUGAGUUUUGCACGCAUUGAAACAUUCAAAGAAAGAAUUUCUAAGUUUAGAAGAACAGAAACAUGCCACAGGAAUCAACGAUGCAACUUCUUUUCUAAAUCUAACAUACAUGAUACAUGUCGACAGUAUCCAUUCAUUGAAUCCUUCGAAAACAAUAUUCAUUGAAAGUUCCACUUUUCUUUCUCCCAGAGGAAGAAUAAUGCCAGCUUGCAUGCGUUUUUACCAAACCAAAAGCUUACUUGAAAGAAACAGAAGCACAGAAGUAGAUACACAUCAACUUUGCGAGGUGUGUCAACAAGUAGAUACACAUCAACUUUCAGAGUUUUGCCACCUUUUUUCUCUUUGCUUCCAAGUACAAGCCAAACCAUAAAACAUUUCUUGCUUUGAACCCUCAAGGGAUCUACUCUAUCACAAGGUAUACGAAACUAGCUAAGCUUGCCCAGAUAUACAUACAUAUUCACCUGAUAUGAAGAUGAUAAUAAUCUACAUAUACACUUUUAACAGUUCGUUUUGAAACUGUUUUGUCCCUUGAAAAUGAUCUAAAAAAUAGUAACCACAAAGAGGGAAGUAAACCAAAAAAGGUAAAGGCAAAAUACAAAUAAUUAAGGCAUCAUAUACAUUACCCUUAAACUUUCUUGACAAGAUGGUGAAGAAGGAAUACAUAAGAUACAUAUUCCUCUAUGGUUUCCCCGUUGAGCUUUGUAAUCCAAUGCCGUUGUGCUUCCUAGAAGGCCCCGAGGGUGGGAUUGGCAUUGCUUUGGGCAAGAAACCGAAGAAGUUUGGAGGCAAAGCCUCACCCUUUGGCUGCACUUUGAAAACUUGAUGAGUGUAUCUAGAGCCAUAACUAUGGCCAACAAAAUAUAUAACCAAAAGCAUGAGCAUGACUAGGACCAAGUUGAGAUAUCUUGUAUCCAUUAAGGAGUUUAAUUCCUUUAUGGCAAGAGAAUCUCAGAAAGGAAAGAGAGAAAGAGAGAGAGAGAGGGGGGUGUUAAGUCGUUGAUGGGUGGGAAAUGUUGAAACAGAAAGGGGAGGAUAAUGAAUGGAGGGGAUGAAAUGCUAUAAGAUGGUUUGAGUUUCACACAUUCUUAAUAAAUGAAGGAAUUUAUGGGGCGAUUGAAGUGGCAAGAGUGGCUUGUUUGUGAAGUAUGUGUGAAAGGAACUAUGAAGAAGAACGAGGGCGGUGUGUGCGGAAACAUGGGGGGAGUAAAUGCAAUGUCAUGUGCUUCAAGAUUUGACUGUUGGAGUGAUAUUUGUGUUAGACUUUUGGUGGCUUGUGGCAAUAAAUGAGACAGCAUGAAGCAAUAGUACUACUUUUAUUCAAUUAAAAAUUGCAGAGACUAGCAAAAUUCUUUCCAAGACCUUGGAAGAGAAAGAUAUGUUCCAAGCCACACAAGCUGGGAUAGAAUAGAAACCAGCCAAAUGAACUAGCAGUAAAAAGAAGAAGUUAUGUAACUUUAUUAUUUUUCUAAUGUUUGUGUAUAAGGGUACAACAUAUAGGGAGCAAAAUAGGGUUAGUGUUGUCGGGUUAGGUGAAUCUGUGGGCCUUCAUGGAAAUAAAUGACGGACUAUGGAACUGAAAGUCCUAAACUGUUGUGCCAAGUCUCAAACACAGCAACAUGCAAACAUGUCCCUCAUCAAUGAGUUAGGGACUAAAAUCUAUAUGGGGGGCAUUCAAUGAGGUGAUGUCAUAACUUCCCCCCUAAGUCAUGGAUCAGAAUUGUGUUCAUGCUUCAACUAUGAGAAAAAAUAUCAAAACAAAGUAAAAAAAUGAUUGCCUUUGAUCUAAAUUUGCUAGAUAACAAUGUUAAAUUUGUGAGUAUAAAUAAGGUUGAUUGUGUUGAAUGGAAAGGGUAUUGAUGAACGAGGAGAGUGGUGAAUGAAAAGAAUAGGGUUUUCUUAGACAUAAUAAAGAGUUGGACCAUGGAAUGCACCGAAAUAAGAGGGGGAUAAAGUUGGACCCACGAUCUGAAUGGACACAGAGACAGAUUGAUGAGGGGUGGAUUGUGGUGUAAUCAGUGGUCGUAAGUUGUCUACACAAGGAAUGGUGUGUGGUCGUAGGAGAAAAGAAAUGUAGUUGGACUCCAAGUUUAGACACUUCUGUGGUGGGGGAUAUGUUAGUGUGUCUUUAAAGAGAGUAUUAGAUCGUAACAAAAACAAAAUACAUGGUACUAGAUUCAUCAUUUCUUUCUACUGGAUCAUUGUUGCCAACAACAAUUUUGUUGGUGUGACAAUGUUCAGAACAUAUUUGCCUGCGUAAUUUGUCUUUCCAUGGAUAUGGGGAAGCUCUUUCAUUAUUCAACCCCUACUUCAUCGACAUCAAACCUGGUAAAAAAAAUGGUUCCAGGUAGAAACAAUUAUCCUUAACUUAAAAGAGCUAAGUGUAAACUACAAUAACCUUAUUUAUUAGGUGAACCAACUUCUUUAAAAAAGUAUUCAUAAACUUCUACAACAUCUUGAAUUUCUCUUCUCAAAUCACUCACAAACCGAAUUAUCUUUAAUUGGUUAAUUUAGAUAUAUUUUCAACUGUCCUAAUUCAAUCUUUAAACAUUUUAAAUAUUUAUAAGAAGAAAACUAUUAUAUUUUGUUUACCUGACAAAUGAAUUUUCAAUAUAAACUAAGAUGUUAAAUAUUUCAUAUAAAUUUAUCAUUGACGUUAAUGAUAUAAUAAAUCCACAGUAUAAAUUUGUUUGUUACUUAAUAAAAAAACACGGAUAAUAAAUCAAUUCCAAUGGAUAAUAAAUCAAUUCCAAUAAUUUCUGUAUUAGAAGUACUCAUCUAACACAUUUAAAAUUUGGAUUAAAAAUAAAAAUCAAUUUCACAUUAUAAUACACAUGUAUUUAUUUCUAAUUAGUUAAAAAAGACAAAUAAAAGAAAAAGUAAUGGAACAAAAAAAUGGAACUACUACCCAAUUCAAUAAUGAUCCUAUCUUGAACAUGUACUGAACCUAAGGCAGUGAGAGUGCUCCUGAAACAACAAGGCAGCACUGUAGUUACUUUGAUAAUAAUGGAGAAUAUAUUCCAUCCAAAGGAAGCUAGAGAAAGAAAAGGUUACUGGGGAUUUUCCUUUUCCUGUUAUUCAUUUGUAUUUCUCUGCUGAUCUCUGUUCAAAUCACACUUGUUUGUUUCUUCCCAUAAUCUCUUUUGGUAUUUUACGUAUGGCAUAACUCCAUAUUCCUCAAAAAGUCUACUGUCUCACAGGCCUGUCACUUUUCCAACACAUUUCACAAUAAUCUUCACUAUAUAUAAGGGAAGAACAUAUAUAUACACUUUCCAGUUCUACAAAACAUUGAGAAUAAUAUACUAAAACUAAAUGUGGAAUAACAUCACAACAAAAAAUUUAAGAAUGAAAUUGGUAUAAGAGCAUGUGAGGUGAUGAUGAUGACCACUGAAAAGUAGUUUUGUCUCUCAUAUUGUUCAAUUAAGUAUGAAGGCAUGCAAUACUGUACUCGUGUGUUUUUUCUCCUGGAUCCUUGACUGCACCAGUGUAAAAACACACACAAAAAAACAAGUCAUUCACUUGAAGAGGGAAAAAAACAGAUACACAUAAACCACACUCUGUAAGAAACUGUUGCAACCGACAAUUUGUGAAUAAAGUUUUGUGAUGCUUUUUCUUCGCAUAACUGUGACCAGUAACCACAUGACAGAAAUUUAAACUUUAUAUAGUGAAUUUUAAUCUUGAAAAGAUACUAAUUACAUUUAUCUCAUUCAAAAAUAAGGAAAAAAAGCUCGAAUCUAAUACUUAUCACGUACAAGAUCCUGUUUACUUCACUUUAUCAAAUUUUUAUGCAUUGUUUGAAACCAGCUAACAAUAAAGGAAAGGGAGAUAAAACUCUGUUGGAUUUAUUAUGUGUACAAAAAAAUUCAUAAAUACUUAUAAGAGAAAAAAAAAUAAAAAAAAUAAUAUCUUCAUAAAUUUUUACAUAAAGUUUUGUUACAUUAAUUUUAACUUGUGCAAGCUUAUAGAAAAGUCUUUUUUUUUUCUUGUUAUGUCUUUCCUUAGACUUUCCUAUGGAUUAGAGGGAAUAUAUGAUUGAAAGAUGACGAAGGACUCACCAUUUUUGCAAUCAGCCUCUUUUGCAUUAAAGAUUAUGUUCAGCGCAUCAAAAUGCCACAAAUUACUUUUUUAUUAUUGAUUUCUCAUUAACGAUAUUCAUUUUGUUAUAUAUAAUCUUAUAUAUAUUAUCAUACAAUCUAAAAAUCAUCUCACUUUCAAUUUUUUUAUUUUUCUUUCUUUUCAUUUUUUUCUCUUUCACUUUUAUCUGAAAUAAAACAUCUUUAGAUUUUUAACUUUUUUAUUGGAUGAUUCUUUCAACUUGUCUUGGCUAUCCAUUCACCCAUGAUCUUGAUGAUAGAUGAAAAGUAUUGGAACUUGCCAGUCGUGAAAGUUUUGUGUGUUGUUUUCUGUAAUGAGAAAAAAACAAUGUAUAAUUCCAAUGAGAGAAGGAUACGAGAGAGGAGAUUGCAUGCAACAAGGAAAGAAAGAAAACAAAACUUUUAGUUGUUGUGUAACAUGUUGUAUAUUAGAUAAUGGAGUUUCCUGUUAGUAUUAUAUCAUUCACGUAUACAAGCAAGAUAUUGAAAGCAUCAGAAGUUCUUUUUAUAAACAAAGAAUUAUGGAUUGAAUGAAAUCAAUGAUUUUGAGAAAAGAAGAUAGUUUGGAAAACCAUUACCUACUUGUUAUUUCAAGCCAUAUAAUGACUUGGUUAGUUGGCAUACCCAACCUGAUUUAGGAGCUUCCAUACCUGAAGGAGGAAUCAGGUAAAUGUCUUUAAGUAACUUAUCGUGAAGAAAGACAUCGUUUAGGAAGACAUUGUUUACAUCCAAUUAUUGCAAAUGCUAAGCUUGAAUGACAACUAAAGCAAGAAACAACCUCGUUGUAAUCAACUUAGGUUGAGAACUCAUUAGCAUAUUUUAGCCUAUGUGAACAUUAAAUUUGACAUAUAAGAAUUCGAAAAAUAAUUAAUAAAAGUAGAUAACCAACCAAAUUGUUUGCUUGGUCGAGAACUAUAAAAGUAAAAAAAAAACUUCGGGACAGGGAGAUAAUGAAAUAAAUUUACACAAAAUACAAAAGGCUUACAUAGGCCCAAUUAUUGGGAUGUAGUUCAGUAGAUCGACAUUAAGAAUACGAAGAACACCUUUUUGAAAUUCAUCAAGAGGAAACCGGACAUUAAUGUUCAUAAAGAGACAUUCAUAAAAAUAAAAGAAUUCACAAGUUUCGCCUUCACGGUCAUGACAAACAUUGUCAAUAGCUCGACAACGCCUAAAAGAAAUGAUUUUCUCAGGAGAAUAAAUAUAAAUUUUUGAUAAAAAAAACUGCGAAAGGCUGAAGAAUAAUGAUACCAAGAGAAAUACUCGCGAACUUUAUGAUUAAUCCAUUCAUAACCAUGUCGAAGACUCUAGUUUUAUUAUGCUCUUUCGGCUCGUUCUUUAGCUUUAAGAUCCACAACUUCAUCACUUGAGCUUACACCAACACAAGAGUUAUUUCUACAAGAGAUGUAGUAGUCGAUGAAGCAGACAAAUGAAUUUUCCUAGUAAUGUCCUCACUCACUCUCCCGGUAGCUCCAUUGGUCGCGCUCGAAAAUCCUGAAAUCUCAUCAGAACCAGAAACAGAGUUUGAGGAAGACAUAAUACCUUAUAAGAAUGAUUAUAGAUAUCUCUCGGACACAAAAAUACAAAAGUAGUAAAAGCAGUGGUAUACCAUUUGGGAACAGAUAUUUACGGUGCUUAAAAAACCUUUCUAAACGAAACAACAUAACAUCACAAUCGUUGAAUUUGAACGCAUCCAACGGUCAGAGAUUAAAAACCUUUCACAUCAAUGACACAGUAAUUGUUGCACACGUGAAAGGAUGCAAUCUUUUUGUACCAAAGUGCAAUUAAUACACGAAAUCUCAUAAAUGCUAAAAUCAUUUCAAAAAAUCUAAUAGUUCCAAAGUGCCAUUUCAACUUCUUCAAAUUCCUUAUAGGCAUUUCAUCUUUUUAAAUUCUUUAUGUUUGGGAGUGUACUAUUUAGGCCGAAUGGUCGAAAGGUUAACAAGGAGAUGAAAAACCAAAUUAAAAUGUGUAAAUAAUAAAAUAAUAAAGCACGGUAGCGAAGCCCAAUGAAUAAGCCAAAAUAGGUACAAUAUGUUUAAUAAAUAUAAGGUACGAAGAGUAAAAGUCCAAUCAGACCCAAAGUCUAAUAAGUGAGUAUUAUGAAUAGGUGAUCAACCUAAAAGGUAAGUAGAGUGAAUUUUAUCUGAUAAUUAAGCAAAAUCGAUUCUGACUUUAUCAUCGGAGCUUCUUAUAGGUACACACACUCGCUCGAGAGUUGAUAUUGAGUUCAGAAGUCGAGAGUUCGAGUUGACCAAGUCUGACAAGUGAGAGUCCAUAUACUACAUCCAAAAACAAGCCCAAACCCAAACCAGGAGACCGUGAAGCCGAAAAAUUAAAAAAAAAAGAAAUUAAUUGCUUCUAGUUCUUGUAAGAAUAUAUAUAUAUAUAUAUAUAUAUAUUAUAUUUAUAUAUACUUAAUUUAUAAUUUUUGUGUACAUGUAAACUUUAAAUCAUCAUCAAAUUUUCAUUUUAUCUCUUAUUUUUCUUAGGUGAAACUAAACCAAAGCAAGAUGAAUGUAUAAUUAACUCUCUUGAUGGUAAUUAUGUAUUUUUUUUUAUAUAUAUUUGAACAAAUUCUGAAAUUUGUUAUAGAAUUGUUUUGACAACAUUUGAUGACUUAAAACUUUUUCUAAAUGAUAGUUAAUGUAGUUGAGAUUUGAAUUUAAAUAUUUUAAAGAAAAGGUGGUAGUGAGUGUUUUCACCCAUUGCUUUAGACAAGUUAAAUACUCCUAUUGUGUAUAUUUUUUGAACACAUGGUUUAACUUUUAAAAUUAAUGCAGGUAGAUUAAGAAAUGAUUAAUAAAUGAAAAUAUGAUAAAAAUAAAUUAAUCAGACUUUCAAAAUUUAAUAUAAUUUUUUUGGAAUAAAAAAAUCUGAAUUUGUUUAAAAAAGAUGAGAAAGGCAAAAAUUUAAAUAUUUUAAAACAUAUUUUAAUCUAAGUACUAUAUAUUCUAUUUAAAUUUUUAAUUAUAUAUAGUAUAACAUUAUAGGAUGCACUGCACAAAAUACAAGUUUGUUUUAUUUAUCUAAUUUUUAUAAUAAUAAAUAGUUAAAAUAACAAAAUUACAUUACAAUUUAAAAGAGUUAAAUAUUCUAAACAUAUAAAAUAUAUUCUAGAAUUAUAAUAAAUAAUUUAUAUGGCUAUACAAUGUUAUUUUUCAAAAAUAUUUGAAGUCAUAACUAAAAGUAUUGAAACAUAAAAUGAAAUAGAUGAAAAAUCAAGAAAAAAAUCUAAAAAUAUUACAGUAGAAAACAAAAUUUAAAAGAUUUCCAUUUUUAUAAUGAUUUAAACAUUAUCCUUAAAUAUAAGGGAAAACAUUAACUUCUCCUUUACUUUUGAAUAAAGUAAAUUUACAUUCUUUAUCAUUUUUAAUAGAAUGAUACUUACUUUCUUUAUCUAUAUAAAAACUAUUAUAUUAAAUAAAAUUUAAAUAAAUUUAAUAAAACUUAAAUAUAAGUGACAAAUGUAAUUUCUCUUAAAAAUUAUUAUUUUAAUUUAUUAGGUAUGAAAGAGAGUAGAAUUAGAAGGAUAUAUUAAAAAUUAAAUUAAUAUUUUCUGAUCUUAUUUUAUGUUGUGCAUAAAUUUGCAUAUGCUAAUAAAAAAUGGAAUAAAUAAUAAGGAAAAAAAAGUGUCGGAAUGCAACCCUACCCCACGACCAAUCUCUUUACAAAAAACACAGGUAUGAUAAUUUUUAUUUUGUCUCUUUUGAACAGAGAAGUGCAAAGACUUAGGGUUUGGUGUUGUGCAAAUUAGGGUUUGUGAUUGGAUCUCCAUCAAUCUCCACUGCCAGAGUCUUAACCAUAACCAUUGCUCAUCAGAUCUGCGAAUUCCAUAUUCUCUCUCGACAUGACAGACGGCUCCUGGAAUCGGCAGCAGCAACAACCACUUCUGCCUUCUUCGGCAUUGCUUAAGCGACCGCGUACUGAAUAUGGUUCUCUCUUUUCUCUCCUUCUCUUUACUAUUUACAAUUUCAAAUUUAGGGUUUGGAGUCAGCUUUCUUAGUUAUUUUCGCAAUGAUUUCCAAUGAUAUAUGAUUUGUUCUGAUGGUAUAUGUUGUUUUUAAAUCUUUCUAAUUUGACUUUUGAGGCCAUGGCAAAGGAAGUGAUGAUAUUAUUAAGUUUGAGUGUGUAUAAUCUAAAUUAGUUGGAUAGACUUAGAAUAUUGAUGUGUUGCAGGGCUUUGAGGUAUAAUACCCUGGAAGAAGUGUUUUUAUGAUUUUGAGUUUUUAGUGAUUAAAUUCUGGUGGGGCUCAAUUUGUGUAAGGGAGGAAUGUCCUUCUGUACAUCUCUGAGCUGUGGUUUUCAAGUAGGUGGAACAGCAGUGACUUGUGAUAGUAUCCAUCCAGUUAGUCUUUAAAAUGAUCAUAGAUAAAUAUAUUACUGGAUUAAAUUACUUUCAUACCAUUUGCUGUGCUGAUUACUGCAUCCUGCUUAUAUCUAUGAAAAUUCUCUUGAUACCAUGUGCUUGGAAGCCUUAUGGUAAUAAUCAGGAUCGUAUGAUUUUUGGUGUUUCUGGUCAUUUUCAAACCCUUUCAACAUAGGAUAGCAAACUGGAGGGAAAGGAGCAUUGAUGGGAUACAUGUAAAUUUGUCGGAUGUGUGAGUGUUAUUUUGUUAUAAUUUCCUGUCUUGGUAGUUUAUCCAUACUCGACUUUUCCAGCCAAUUUGGCCUUCCCUUCCAAAGUUCAGUUUCCCCUUUUUACUGUGUUCUCAAUCUUGAACAUCUAAUCCAUCUUUGUGAUUUCUGUCUCUGGUGUUUGGUGUUUGAAAAUUCUGUUGGCUGAUGUGAAUGCUCUGUUCAUGUCUUUGUUUGAGUUUUCAAGUGUUCUUUUGUUUGAAUUUUGAUAUUAUGUUGGUCCUUGUUUACAAUUUUCUUGUUUUUUAGUCACACAUUUUGUUUGCUUGUUCAAACAUAACAUCUUAAGUAUGCUUUGCCUUCACAUUUGCACAGUGCAUCUUGCUAUGGUUCCAUCAACAUCAUCAUCAUUAUCAUCAUCAUCAUGAAAUGAGGCCAUUGUUCAACUUGAGCUGUAAUACAUGUAUAUGUUAAUGUAACAAAUAAGAAGCUUAGAAGGAAUUAAAUUUUGAAGAUUAUUUUGUAGUAAAAGACAAUCUAUUCAGAGAAGAUGUGUUAUGUACUAUGGAGUAUUUAUCCUACAAGAGUAUGAUGUUUAUUGUUAGUAUUGGGAUGUUUCAUUUGCUAAUGUAUAUAUCAAUAUGUCAUGCAUAUGGAGAUUCAUAUACAAGAAUGUGAAGAUUGAGACGUGAUCAUCCGUUGUGCAUGCAAUUGUACUGGCUUGUGUUUUCUUUUUCUCUAUAACCAAAACCUCUUUCUGUUGGAACCUGUAAUUAUUUCCUUUUUCCAUUCUCAUAAACUCAUAAGAUCACCUAAAGAGCAUUGCUAUGCAACUCAGCCCAUUGUACAUGUUUUAUUUAUAGUAGUAGCACACAUGCUAGACAUGGUGAAAUAUACAUGUUUCACUCUUCUUUUUUGAAGAAUUUAAUACAACAUGCCAUAAUGCACGAUAGGAAGACGCCUCUGUUUCCUUGUGCACCUUCAUCUCUGAAGGAUCCUUACUUCCACUAUUGGUUUUUGGCUUUUUGGUCUUUGUACUGUUAACUCAUUAGUGACCAUUAUGAGUAAAGAGUGAUUGCUGUUUCAUUUUGAAACCUUUAGCUUUUUUUAUUUUUUAUUAAGUAUAUUGCCAAUAAACACAAUUGGAAAUUUUAAAUUGUAAUCAACAAUGUUGUCAAAAUCGUGAGUUUACUCUGUCGGCAGAUUGGGAUCAAAGUGCCAAUCAGAGGAUCACCAAAGCUUGUCAAUUCUGGAUUGUGACUCAUUCGUGGUCAUUUUUGGCCAAAUAAAUGGACCUUGCUUUUCUCCAUUUAAGGCCCAAUGACAAAAUUUAAGGCCCAAAUGACCCAAAAUGUGUGUUCUUUGUUACGAGAGUGAGAAAUCCCAAACAAGAGUGGAAAUCCCCUAACAAGAGUGAAAAAUCCCCAAUCGAAAGAAGAUAGGAAACCUAGAAACGAAACCCACCUCGUACUUGUUGCCGCUCACCAUUGUUGUCGUCUUGCUUGCCGUUGGCCACCGCUGUCGUCGUCGCUUGCCGAUCGCUGUGCCUACUUGUUGUCCUACUCUUCGUUUGGCUUUUUUAAUCUAUCACACAAUGCUUCUUCUCUUCUAUUCUUGGUGCCUUUUAUAAUGCCUUUAAGCGGUGACAAUGCGAAAAAAGGAAGUGUAAGAACACAUUCUGCAUGGAAUCACUGUGUUUCUAUUGAUGAAAAAUCAAGAAAGGUAAAAAUUGUGAGAAGGUCUUAACAUGAGGUAUUUAUAGAUUAAAGCAUCAUCUUGUAGGGACUUCAAAGGACGUUAAAGCAUGUAUUGCCGUUCUCGAAGAGGUUAAAAAAUUAAUGUUGGGUAUUGUUUCUAUGCUGCAACAAAAUUUGAUGAAGAAAUCUAUGUCUAGAGAAGAGUGGGAUAGUCCCUAAACCCUAAACCCUAGUGUGGUGAUUUUGAAUUUUUUUGAAAAAGACCAACUCAAGAAGACUGUAGGGGUGAGUCAUCAAGUAUUUUACAAGAGAAAAGGAACUCAAACUGCUAUCAAUUCCAUCUUCAAGAUAAGUGAGAGGGAAGAUUCAUGACAAGAAAUUGCUUUAUUUUUCUACAACAAUGCUAUUCCAUAUGAUGUAGGAAAGAGUGAAGAGUUCAAUAAGAUGCUUGAGUUGUUUGCCAAACAUGGUCCUGAACUUAGGCCACCGUCUUACCUUGAAAUUAGAGUGAAAUAUUUGAAGCAACAGGUUGAAAAGACCUGUCUAAUACUGGAAAAACGUAAAUUAUUUUGGGAAAAAAUGGUUGCACAAUAAUGGCAGAUGGAUGGACUGAUAGGAGGGAAAUGACCAUAGUUAAUUUUCUAGUAAAUAGUCCAAAGGAGUUUGUCUUUUUGAAGUCGAUUGAUGCUUCUGACAUAUGCAAGACAACUAAAUUGUUUUGAAGAAGAUGAAUGAUGUUGAGGAGGUUGGGGAAGAGAAUGUCAUCCAAAUUGUAAUUGAUAAUGCAACAAAUUACAAGACAGGUGGAGAUAUGUUAAUGCAAAAGAGACAAAAGCUGUAUUGGACACCUUGCGCAACACAUUGCAUUGAUUUAAUAUUGGGAGAUUUUGAGAAAAUAGUCAAUGGUAAGAAAAUCACAGCUUACAUCUAUUCAAGAAUUGGACUUAUUUGCUUGUUGCACAAACAUACUAAAGGGAUAGAUUUGAUAAGACCAUCUAAUACUUGUUUUACUAGUUCUUAUCUAAAUUUGGGAUGCUUGAAUGAGAAUAAAAGAUUACUAAUUAGGAUGUUUAUAUUAAGUAGUGACAAUCUAAUUGAAGGCUUGUGGAAAAUUUGAUAUUGGACAAGAGAUUUUGGACAAAUAUUUUGAAUUGCAUGUGGAGUGCUCUUCUCCUAAUUAAGGUGUUGCGCAUGGUGGAUUCGGAUGAAAAACCAGCCAUGGGAUUUAUUUAUGAAGAGAUGGACCUUGCUAAAGAGAAGUGACAGUCUUUUCAAUAGAGUUAGUUAUAGGUAAAUAACUAAUUACCUUUCACUUAUAUUUGAUUUCUAUUUUUUUUAGAAAUAUAGACUUUGUUUUCUAGAUUAAUUUAUUUACUUUAUCUUAGUUACAUUCCCCUUUGGGAAAUCAUUGAUCAAAGAUGGGACAACCAACUGCAUAGAUCAUUGUAUGCUGAAGGCUAUUUACCUUAAUCAAUUUAAAAUGUUUUUCCAAAAUUGAAGAGCACCCCUAAAGCAAUUUAAAAUGUUUUUUCCAAAAUUCCUUGUCCAAUAUCAAAUUUUCCUCCAACCCUCCAUUUUUAGUUUUUACAAAUUUACUAGAUUGCCACUCUGAGGAUGUGAACAUCUUAAUAAGUGAUCAUUUAUUCUCAUUCAAGCAUCCUAAAGUCAGAUAAGAGGUGGCAAAACGAGUAUUGACUGGUCUUAUCAAAUCUUUUCCUUCACUAUAUUUGUGCAACAAUGAGAGAAUACUAGUUCUUGAAUAAAUGUGGGUUGUAAUUUUCUUACCAUUGGUGAUUGUGUUGUGAUGAAGAUAUAUUUUCUUUUCAAAAUCUUCCAACAUUAGAUCAAUGCAAUGAAUUGCACAAGGGGUCCAAUACAACUUUUUCCUCUUUUGCAUUGACAACUCCCCUGCUGCUUUAUAAUUUGCUGCAUUAUUUGUUACAACUUGGAUGUUAUUUUCUUCCCCAACCUCUUCAACAAUAUCAUUCAUCAUUUUGAAGAUUUUUUUAGUUGUCUUGCAUAUAUCAGAUGCAUCAAUAGACUUCAAAAAGACAGUUUCCAUUGGACUAUUUACCAAAAAAUUAAGUAUAGUCUUCCUCUUCCUAUCAGUCCAUUCAUCUGUCAUUAUUCUACAUCCAGUUUUUUUGCAAAAAACUUAUGUUGUUCUAGAAUCAGAUUUGUCUUCUCAACCUCUUGCUUCAAAUAUUUCAUGAUAUGAUAGUGACUUUAAUCCGGGACCAUGUCUACCAACUAAUUCAAGCAUCCUCUUAAAUUCCUCACUCUUUGCUACAUUAAAAGGAAUAACAUUAUUGUAGAAAAAUUGAGCAAUCUCUUGACAUGCAUCCUCUAUGUCAUUCUUCUUGAAAAUGGCAUUAAUAGUACUUUGAGUUCCUCUUCUCUUGAAAUUAUUUGAUGAGUCCUCAAUCUCUUCACUUGAUCUUUUUCUAGCACUUUUUGAAUAACCCUCAUUACUCUCUUCUCUAGAGAUUGAUUUCCUUAACAAAUUUUGCUGCAGAGUAACCAAAUCCAACAUUGAUUUUUUAACAUCUUCCGGCACUGAUAUACAUGCUCCCACAUCCUUUGAAGUCCCUGCUUAAUGGUGCUUUAAUUUGUAAACCCCUCUUGUCAAUACUUUCUCACAAUAUUUACAUCGUACGUCCCUUGCUUUUCCAUCAACAGACACACAAUGCUUCCAUUCAGGAUUAGUUCUUCCACUUGCCACUAUAAAUUAUCACCCAAAUGUAGUGGAGUAGUGGCAGAGUGGAGGCAAUGGCGGAGGUACCGAAUUGCGUGGUGGUGCGAGCAGCAUGCGUAGUGGCGCGAGUAGCAUGCGCAGUGGCGCGAGCAGCAUGCCCAAUGGCGGAGGCAGCGAAUUGCGUGAGCGGCGAAAAACAGUGUGAGCGGCGGCCAACUGAGGCAUAUGUUAUAAACUUAGGUUUGGGUUUUCAAGUUAGGGUUUCUAGGUUUUAUUGGGUUUUAAGUAUUUUUUUGGGUCGUGUCAUGGAUUGUGGAGGCCCAAAGAUCGUCUGAUCCGACCCAUGGAUCAUCGGAUCGCUCCGAUCCGAAUAGAUUCCGAUCCCACCUCUGAUCUAGCCCGUUUUCUUCUAAAAAGAUCGUAAGAUCGUCGAUCUUGACAACAUUGACGAUGAUUUCCUUGGAUAGUUUAAUUGUAUUAAACAUUUGUGAACUUAUUAGUUGUUUUAUAUAUGAACAUUUUUUGAAUUAUGAACCUGUUUUCAGUUGGGUUAUGUAUUGAAUGUUAUUUUUCAUCUGUUAGUAACUCUUACUGGUCGAGUUACGAUUUACAAGUUUGACAACAUUGGUAAUGAGACUUAAGUAAAAGGGCAAAAUCUUGUUUUGUCUGUCUUAAUGUGUUCUCUUGUAGUAUAGGAGGAAAUAAGUUAACCCUUAGCUAACCAAAUGAUGUGAAAUUGUGGGAGCCCAUUUGAACCAAGAAAACUUUUAGAACUGGACAAAAGAAAUGAGAUGGAAGGAUGGAAGUCAAAGUAAGCAUAGUUGUCCCUUAUUUGUCCAUUGUGUAUUGAAGUCUUAUCUAGGCUUGAUAAGACUAGUUUUGAAUAAAUUCCGCAGAUCCUAUAGUUAGAUGGUGAGUGACUUGAGUAUGCAAACUACAUUUGAAUGGAAAACCUUUCUAGUUUGAGUAAAGGUUGAAGUGUGUACCCUUUUUAGGAAAUGCUUGGAGUUGAAUGGGUUGGAAUGGCAUUAUAAUGGGGGAUUUGUCACUUGGUAUAAACAGGAGUUGAAGUGCUCCCAAAAGUGGUUGCAUCAUGGAAACCCAAAACAAGGUGAAUUGUACUAUUGUUUUGAGCCAAAGCUUGGGUGUAUCCCAAUGGUUGUUUUUUUAGUGCAGAGUAGUAUGUAGUGGAUGGGUGAAAGUAAAUAGGCUUGUGCUGGAUUCAGAACUAAAUAAGUUGUUUGAACAAUUUACAACCAAAUUGACGUGACAAGAAAUCAAGCAUUGACAACCCGCCUGACCUUCAUGACCUUUGACACAAUCUAAUCAACUAUAGCUGCGCCUAAAAAAUUAACCUUCCUUAUUUCCUGUUUUAUUUACAAAAGUGUCUGCUGAGUCAUUUCAUUGUGAUGUUUGUCAGUUUGCUAAACACCAUCGGACAACUUUUCCUCCCAAUGGUAAUAAAAGUUCUAAACCUUUUGAUCUUAUUCAUUCAGAUGUAUGGGGACCUUCACCUAUUCCUAAUAUCUCGGGUACAAAAUGGUUUGUUUCAUUUAUUGAUGAUUGUACUCGGGUUACUUGGUUAUUUCUCAUGAAAGAUAAGUCUGAAGUUUUUCACUUGUUUGUAAAGUUUUACAGAAUGAUUCAAACACAAUUUGAAAGUUCAAUUAAGAGAUUGCGUUCUGAUAAUGGAAGAGAAUAUGUGAACCAAAACCUUUCCAAGUUCCUUGAGGAAAAUGGAGUUGUUCAUGAAUUAACCUGUGUGGACACUCCUCAACAAAAUGNNNNNNNNNNNNNNNNNNNNNNNNNNNNNNNNNNNNNNNNNNNNNNNNNNNNNNNNNNNNNNNNNNNNNNNNNNNNNNNNNNNNNNNNNNNNNNNNNNNNNNNNNNNNNNNNNNNNNNNNNNNNNNNNNNNNNNNNNNNNNNNNNNNNNNNNNNNNNNNNNNNNNNNNNNNNNNNNNNNNNNNNNNNNNNNNNNNNNNNNNNNNNNNNNNNNNNNNNNNNNNNNNNNNNNNNNNNNNNNNNNNNNNNNNNNNNNNNNNNNNNNNNNNNNNNNNNNNNNNNNNNNNNNNNNNNNNNNNNNNNNNNNNNNNNNNNNNNNNNNNNNNNNNNNNNNNNNNNNNNNNNNNNNNNNNNNNNNNNNNNNNNNNNNNNNNNNNNNNNNNNNNNNNNNNNNNNNNNNNNNNNNNNNNNNNNNNNNNNNNNNNNNNNNNNNNNNNNNNNNNNNNNNNNNNNNNNNNNNNNNNNNNNNNNNNNNNNNNNNNNNNNNNNNNNNNNNNNNNNNNNNNNNNNNNNNNNNNNNNNNNNNNNNNNNNNNNNNNNNNNNNNNNNNNNNNNNNNNNNNNNNNNNNNNNNNNNNNNNNNNNNNNNNNNNNNNNNNNNNNNNNNNNNNNNNNNNNNNNNNNNNNNNNNNNNNNNNNNNNNNNNNNNNNNNNNNNNNNNNNNNNNNNNNNNNNNNNNNNNNNNNNNNNNNNNNNNNNNNNNNNNNNNNNNNNNNNNNNNNNNNNNNNNNNNNNNNNNNNNNNNNNNNNNNNNNNNNNNNNNNNNNNNNNNNNNNNNNNNNNNNNNNNNNNNNNNNNNNNNNNNNNNNNNNNNNNNNNNNNNNNNNNNNNNNNNNNNNNNNNNNNNNNNNNNNNNNNNNNNNNNNNNNNNNNNNNNNNNNNNNNNNNNNNNNNNNNNNNNNNNNNNNNNNNNNNNNNNNNNNNNNNNNNNNNNNNNNNNNNNNNNNNNNNNNNNNNNNNNNNNNNNNNNNNNNNNNNNNNNNNNNNNNNNNNNNNNNNNNNNNNNNNNNNNNNNNNNNNNNNNNNNNNNNNNNNNNNNNNNNNNNNNNNNNNNNNNNNNNNNNNNNNNNNNNNNNNNNNNNNNNNNNNNNNNNNNNNNNNNNNNNNNNNNNNNNNNNNNNNNNNNNNNNNNNNNNNNNNNNNNNNNNNNNNNNNNNNNNNNNNNNNNNNNNNNNNNNNNNNNNNNNNNNNNNNNNNNNNNNNNNNNNNNNNNNNNNNNNNNNNNNNNNNNNNNNNNNNNNNNNNNNNNNNNNNNNNNNNNNNNNNNNNNNNNNNNNNNNNNNNNNNNNNNNNNNNNNNNNNNNNNNNNNNNNNNNNNNNNNNNNNNNNNNNNNNNNNNNNNNNNNNNNNNNNNNNNNNNNNNNNNNNNNNNNNNNNNNNNNNNNNNNNNNNNNNNNNNNNNNNNNNNNNNNNNNNNNNNNNNNNNNNNNNNNNNNNNNNNNNNNNNNNNNNNNNNNNNNNNNNNNNNNNNNNNNNNNNNNNNNNNNNNNNNNNNNNNNNNNNNNNNNNNNNNNNNNNNNNNNNNNNNNNNNNNNNNNNNNNNNNNNNNNNNNNNNNNNNNNNNNNNNNNNNNNNNNNNNNNNNNNNNNNNNNNNNNNNNNNNNNNNNNNNNNNNNNNNNNNNNNNNNNNNNNNNNNNNNNNNNNNNNNNNNNNNNNNNNNNNNNNNNNNNNNNNNNNNNNNNNNNNNNNNNNNNNNNNNNNNNNNNNNNNNNNNNNNNNNNNNNNNNNNNNNNNNNNNNNNNNNNNNNNNNNNNNNNNNNNNNNNNNNNNNNNNNNNNNNNNNNNNNNNNNNNNNNNNNNNNNNNNNNNNNNNNNNNNNNNNNNNNNNNNNNNNNNNNNNNNNNNNNNNNNNNNNNNNNNNNNNNNNNNNNNNNNNNNNNNNNNNNNNNNNNNNNNNNNNNNNNNNNNNNNNNNNNNNNNNNNNNNNNNNNNNNNNNNNNNNNNNNNNNNNNNNNNNNNNNNNNNNNNNNNNNNNNNNNNNNNNNNNNNNNNNNNNNNNNNNNNNNNNNNNNNNNNNNNNNNNNNNNNNNNNNNNNNNNNNNNNNNNNNNNNNNNNNNNNNNNNNNNNNNNNNNNNNNNNNNNNNNNNNNNNNNNNNNNNNNNNNNNNNNNNNNNNNNNNNNNNNNNNNNNNNNNNNNNNNNNNNNNNNNNNNNNNNNNNNNNNNNNNNNNNNNNNNNNNNNNNNNNNNNNNNNNNNNNNNNNNNNNNNNNNNNNNNNNNNNNNNNNNNNNNNNNNNNNNNNNNNNNNNNNNNNNNNNNNNNNNNNNNNNNNNNNNNNNNNNNNNNNNNNNNNNNNNNNNNNNNNNNNNNNNNNNNNNNNNNNNNNNNNNNNNNNNNNNNNNNNNNNNNNNNNNNNNNNNNNNNNNNNNNNGCUCGAGCUUGCAUGCCUGCGGGGUCCACGUCGAGAUGAUCCGCCUUACUUUAUGACCUACAAACAAAAUAUGAUGGUCGUAUGAGUGUGCCAUGUGGUAAUAAGUCCGCUAUCAGUAUUGCACACAAUCCGGUUCAACAUGAUCGAACAAAGCACGUAGAGAUAGACCGACACUUUAUUAAAGAAAAGUUGGAUGAUGGUCUUAUAGCCACUGAGUACAUCCCUUCAAGACUCCAAUUGGCAGAUAUGUUUACUAAGGGACUUCCCGCAAAACAAUUCGAAGAUCUUACUUGCAAGUUGGGAAUGAUAGAUAUACAUUCACCAACUUGAGGGGGAGUGUUGCAUAAUCAGGAGAAUUAUGUUAUAAUUAAGUGCAGAUUCUAUUUUAUAUUUAUUAGGACAGAUUUGUUAGUGAUUUGAUUUGAUUUGUACAGCUUUAAACACUCAUUAUUUCUGGCUUUCAUUGCCUAUUAUUUCUUUCUUUAAUUAGGUUGUAAAACAGUCUAUAAAUAGAGACUGUAAUCACAUUUGUAAAAUAUCUCAGAAAUAUAUUUCACUUAUUUCUUUCCACUCCUUGGAAACUGUAAGAGAAACCCAUAGAGCUGAGUAAAUAAAACUCUACUGACCACCAUAUCCAAGUGAUGGUGAAUGAGGCCUGCAUAGUGCUGAAUGCUUGAAACUGCAGCACUCUCUUUUAGAAAACUUGAUUUGAAAGAGUACAUUGCUAAUGCUUAUCAAUUUGUGCUUCUUGUACAAGAUGCUAUCUUCAAUGUUGUACACUGUAGGGAUCAGUUAUGCUGUUUAUUGAGGUAACAAAAGUAUUAGAAGUCCAUCAAGGAUGAUGUCAGUGUGAUUCAGAGAUGAAAGUGGAUCUCUGAUAGAGAGAUCAAGGAAUUAAUGAUGGAUUUGAUCAAUGCAGAUGCUCUGAAAUUGAUUGCUUAUUUUCUUGUUUGAAUUCAGAUCUGAGUUGACACAGCUUAGCACACAUGCAAAUAAACAUAACUUACUUUCAAAUGUCCAAGGAAAGUUUGCAUCCAAUGACUUUAGGGUCAGAAGAGAUUCUUCUUGUGAAGUAGGCACAGAAUAGUGCAUUUGAUCCUUCCACUCUUACUGCAAGAAAACUCUGGUUACUUGUGAAGUAGGCACAAAAUGUCAGAAAGCCCACUUUUUCUAAAUUUUAUGGUAUUUUUCUAAUCAUAACAACACCUAGUUGCUUACUGUUUCCAAAGUAGGAAUUUUUUGUCAUCAAGUUUUGUUGAAAUUGGGUGAGGAUGUGAUAUGAGCAGGAGUGGGUUGAGUAGAAGAUUCACUGAGAGAUGCUGGUGGAUCUGAAAAACGGAAAGAUUAAGUGGUGAUGCCAUGGAGUGGAAAUAGAUCCAAGAAAAUCUUUCUAUAACACAACAAAAGUCAGUAGUGAGAGCUAUAGAGAUAGAUAGACAAUUAAAGAAAAUAUUAACCAAAUGAAUUGACUUCUGUUGCAAGGAAGAAGACUAGAGAUACACAUGGUUGAGAGUGCUUACCGGUUAAUUGCUUAGAGCUGGGAAAGUAUGAGCCUGUUUACAAUCUCCAGUAACUACAAUUUGAGUAGUUAACCUAAUACAACUAGUCAAGUAACAAUGGUUGACUUUUUAUGCUAUUUGGUGUGUAAGGAUCUGACUACUGGUAGUUUGAUAGGUGACAACAAGCAUGUUUGUGUGUGUCCUCUGCUCUUUGUAAUAUUGUGAGCACUAAACAAUAUGGAGCAUGUGCUGUUUAGUUAUCUGUGUUUUGCCAGCAUCUGGCAUAUUUGCUACUAGAUAUAUUGUCUGUGGUUAGCAUUGGAGGAUGGCUAUGGUAUACAAUGAUGCAAAUGACCAAAACUUCUUUUGAUUCAGUGUAUUUAGGUUCUAUAUUUUUUACUAGAGUUAAGGCUAGAUUCUGAUACAUUGCAGAUAUGUCACCUUCUGGUCUGACUUCGGGAGGUAAUGAGAUGCAUAAUUAUAUUGCUAGGAAUGAUGAUCAUACUGGUCACCGAAUGCUAAAGGACACUAAAACACUUGGAUCUGCUUAUGAUCGCUACCUUCAAAAUGCAGGGGUAUCUUAACCUGUUUUUUUUUUUUACAUAUUUGAGGAUGUGCUUUCAUAGCUUGUUUGCUGAAAACUUUUUUUUGGUUAAUAAAAGCAGCUUACUUCGUUUAAUUCUGGGGAAGCGAGUGCAAUUGGUGGUGUUGGAUUGGCAAGGAGUGUUGGUGGAUUGCCAGGUCAUUCGCUAUCUGAUCCUUCUGUUAUGGGGCAUCCUGGUGGUGGUCAUGAUCUUGCACGAAAUGGACGGAAUGUCAAUUAUGGUGGUCAGUUACCAGUAGACACAGCCUCCAUGCCUGGACCAGAGACUGUACCUCUCCCACCAGAUGCAUCUAGUACUUUAUAUGUUGAAGGUCUCCCAUCUGACAGCACGAGAAGGGAAGUGGCUCGUAUCCUUUAUUUUUUUCCUAUAAUGUUUAUUAAUUGGAUUAUCAUACUGUCGACUGUCUUGUCAUCUUUUUUUUUAUUUUUUUUAUUUUAGCUUUUCAAAUUCCUUAAUGCCAUUUUUAGAUAUUUUUCGCCCUUUUGUUGGAUAUAGAGAAGUAAGACUUGUAAGCAAAGAGUCCAAACAUGUAAGUGUACUGCUCGUAACAGUUGUCUGGUUCUCAUCUAUUAUUUUGGUAUGUUGUUCUGCUCAUUGGAUAGAAGAUUCAUACCUUUAUGCUGAAAUGCAUGCUUCUUGCAGCGUGGAGGAGAUCCUCUAAUCCUUUGUUUUGUGGAUUUUGCAAAUCCGGCUUGUGCAGCAACUGCUCUGAGUGCAUUGCAAGGUAAUUGCUUGUUACCCGCUGAGAUAAAAAUGAAAUUAAUUUCAUGUUUGAUUGUGCAAGUCUCAUAGGAAAACAUCUCAUAAGGUGACUUGAUAAAGUUGUGAAAAUUGUAGAAUUACCUUGGGUUUUUUCUUCUAAACCAAUAUGUGGCUAUUAUGUUCCUGAAUUUUGUAUCAGUGUGUUUGGAAACUCAUUGAAAAUGGAGAAAUCACAUUUAGAAUUUGGAAACUAUAACCAUUAGAUUCUGAAAAUUGCGUACAAAACGCAAAAAAAGUCACAUUUGAAAACGUAACCAAAUACCCCAGAUGUUUUGUUAUAAUUUUUUUUAAUUGUAAUGGGGUAAAAUAUUAUAAAGCUGCACUAAAUUUAUCAGUAAAAUUCCAAAGGAACAAGUGUUGGGUAUGAUGUGCUAUCUAAUUAUGAUAUUACUGAAUAUUGUAUUGAACUAAAAGGAUUUAAAUUGGGAAAGUGAUAAAUCACUCUUAGACUGAAUAUCUUUGUGAAAGUUACAUGUGACGUAAUAGUUUAUUCAAACUGGGUUACUUCACAGAACUGAAGUAGUGAACACGUUAUAAAUGAGUUCCAACUUCCAUGUUCCUAUCUGUUAUCCUCUUUCAUUCCCAAAGUACAUAAAUGAACACAUACAAAGAUAACUAUUCUAUUAGUUGUCAUAUCGUUGUUAUCAUCACUUUGGAAUUGUGAUCACCCAUCACGUGUGUCUAUUUUUAAAAUGAAGUUAUCAUUUUUUUAUGCCACGUAUGCACGAAGUCCCUAAGUUCUGCUGCUAUAACAUAGUCAGCUGUUCCUGUGGUCAGGAAACUAUGGACACAAUUUAGAUGACGUUUCUUACGUCAUUGUCAUCAAGUUCUCCAAGUAAAUGGUGACAUGUUGAGCUAUUAAAAAAUUCUUCCAUACAAUUUGUGGAAGUUGCUUAUUACUUGAAAGGAGAAUUUAAUGGUAAAUAAAUAUACUACAAACUUGAUCUAAGUUUAAGUUAUGUCUUCAAUCUAAUGCAGUGUUCCUUAUGAUCUUACUAACCCAGUAUUGUAGGAUUUGAACUAAUGAUUUUUUCAAAUAGUUAUGUACCCAAAUUUCAGUGUUUGCUGACAUCGUGGUUUGAUGACACAGGUUAUAAAGUUGAUGAACUCAAUCCUGAGUCUAGCCACUUGCGGCUUCAGUUUUCUCGGUUUCCUGGUCCCAGAUCCGGACCUGGUCCUCGUGGCAAGAGGUGAGCUGGUUCGCUCAGGUUUUAUGCUGGUCAUAAUGUCCUAUCUUUAUCCCAUAUUACUGUUAUGGGGUUUGAAUGUUCAGAGUCGAUGUUCACAUGCAAAUUUAGUCUCCCUCCUGGCUACAAUCCUACUUUAUUGAGCUCCCUAGGUGCACAUAGUAUUUUAACUGGAUAAUAUCAAAUUACAAUUGCAUUUUGAGCAAAUCUAACAUGGAGGGCCUAGUCAAUUUACUGUGUUGUAUAAAUAUUGAUAAUUUUAGUAUGAACCUGAUUAGAGUUUUUUUUUGGGCUCAAAUAAAGGUUUUUAAUUUUAAUAUUAUCUAUACUGGUCGUGUGCUUGUGAUAACUGUUUAGCUUUAGUCUGUUGUUGAGCCACGGAAUUCUGUUGUUUGAUGACAUUUGGCAUGUAUUGUGCAACUGUAAUUAGCUUCGGUCAUAUGGUGCCAAGGCUCUAAUGUCUGAAUUCUGUUGUCAGAAGACUGAGAAUGUGAUAGCUACUUGGAUUAUCUUAAUGGUUUGUGUUUCACUUCACAGCAUCGUUAUUGAUAUGCCUUCUAAGAUAUUUAUGAAAAACUCAAUAAACUUAUCUUAAAUAGAAGUAUGUAAUGUAGGAACAACUAGUUGAACUGUAGUGUGGUUAUAAAUCGAAAGCACCAUGAAUAUGCUAUAUUAAUGGAUUUUCUUAUGAAACUAUGGGUAAAAAAAUCCUUUGAUACGACUAAAUAAAUACAAAAGAAACCAUGUCUAUCAAUUUAUGGAUGAAUGAGACAGCUAGUUUGUUUGUAUCAUGGAGCCUAUCGUUUUAUUAUUUUUAUCUUUUAUGCUCGAAUAUAAUCUGUUAUAUUCCCACGUAUUUGUAAUUUUUGUACAAGAAAUUUCCAUAUAGAUGUAAAAUUUAGCAUUCUGUGAUGUCUCAUGUUUUCCACUUCGAUUGCAACAACUAAAUAUUGUAAAAUUUCUAUAACAAUAAUAUAAUUAGAUUAUUAUCGAGUUGUUAUUUUAAAAGCUUUUUAUACGUGCUAAUCAAAUGAUGUGUACAAAUGGUUUUUAUUCAAAGAAAUUUUUUACAAUAUGAUUUAAAUGGUAAGAGUUUUUAUUUUUAAUUCAACCAUUAAUUUUGUUAAAUUAGCAUCUAGUGUUAAGUUAUUGAAUUAGGAAUAAUACACUGGUAUAAAUUGUCACAUUGUUUGUUUUAAUUUAGGGUUUCUUAUAAAUAUAAAAAACAUUUUACAUCUACAUUAUUUUUAUAUAUAUGCAUUUGUAAGAAAUACUUGAUUUUGUGGAUAUUCCAACAAUGUAAAUAUUCAGUUGAAACUUCUAAAUUUUUCCUGUUUUUUUCCUAAUCACAUUACUUCAUUAAGUAUAUAAAUUAUGUGUUUUCCCUUGUUACCUCCUUAGAUUUCUACACCCAAUGUAUAUAAAUCAAUGUCUUUCUAACUUAAACCAAGCUAAUAACUUUCGAGUUAUUUUAACUGACAUAUAAACAAUAAGCAUGUUUAUAAAAUUCCAGCUAUUUUCUGACUAAAUUUAUAAUUUGUUAUGAUUAAAUUANNNNNNNNNNNNNNNNNNNNNNNNNNNNNNNNNNNNNNNNNNNNNNNNNNNNNNNNNNNNNNNNNNNNNNNNNNNNNNNNNNNNNNNNNNNNNNNNNNNNNNNNNNNNNNNNNNNNNNNNNNNNNNNNNNNNNNNNNNNNNNNNNNNNNNNNNNNNNNNNNNNNNNNNNNNNNNNNNNNNNNNNNNNNNNNNNNNNNNNNNNNNNNNNNNNNNNNNNNNNNNNNNNNNNNNNNNNNNNNNNNNNNNNNNNNNNNNNNNNNNNNNNNNNNNNNNNNNNNNNNNNNNNNNNNNNNNNNNNNNNNNNNNNNNNNNNNNNNNNNNNNNNNNNNNNNNNNNNNNNNNNNNNNNNNNNNNNNNNNNNNNNNNNNNNNNNNNNNNNNNNNNNNNNNNNNNNNNNNNNNNNNNNNNNNNNNNNNNNNNNNNNNNNNNNNNNNNNNNNNNNNNNNNNNNNNNNNNNNNNNNNNNNNNNNNNNNNNNNNNNNNNNNNNNNNNNNNNNNNNNNNNNNNNNNNNNNNNNNNNNNNNNNNNNNNNNNNNNNNNNNNNNNNNNNNNNNNNNNNNNNNNNNNNNNNNNNNNNNNNNNNNNNNNNNNNNNNNNNNNNNNNNNNNNNNNNNNNNNNNNNNNNNNNNNNNNNNNNNNNNNNNNNNNNNNNNNNNNNNNNNNNNNNNNNNNNNNNNNNNNNNNNNNNNNNNNNNNNNNNNNNNNNNNNNNNNNNNNNNNNNNNNNNNNNNNNNNNNNNNNNNNNNNNNNNNNNNNNNNNNNNNNNNNNNNNNNNNNNNNNNNNNNNNNNNNNNNNNNNNNNNNNNNNNNNNNNNNNNNNNNNNNNNNNNNNNNNNNNNNNNNNNNNNNNNNNNNNNNNNNNNNNNNNNNNNNNNNNNNNNNNNNNNNNNNNNNNNNNNNNNNNNNNNNNNNNNNNNNNNNNNNNNNNNNNNNNNNNNNNNNNNNNNNNNNNNNUAUAUAUAUAUAUAUAUAUAUAUAUAUAUAUAUAUAUAUAUUAAUAAAAUUAAAAUUUAUUUAUUAUUCUUGUUUUGAUUCAAAGUUAAAAUAACCUCAAACCAAAACAUAUAAUUAUUGAGUCCAUUUGCUCAUAAUGAAAAAAUAUAUUUUAUAGGUUCUAAUUAGUUGUCUUCUAUUAUUUGAAUUUUAAUUAAUAUUAUUUAAUAUUUAAAAUUUUAUAUCUUUUUAAUAAUUUCAAGUAUCACUAAUAAAUAUCCUUUUAUUCUUAUUAAAAUUGGAUAAUUUAAUUAAAUUUCUCUUUUAAUAAUUAAUAGACUCUAUUAAUAGAAGAUCAAACUAAUUAUCGGUACACAAGUUCCAACUUCAAGUCGAACAAACAAGGGAUCAAACCAAUUAGCGAUACAUAACUCUCUAAAUCUCAAGUCGAGUAGAUGAGACAAAGAGGUUUAUCCGGCAAAAAGAGAAAAGAAAUAAAUUAUUAUGUAUGUUGUACCUAAUUUAUCUAUGGUCAUGUACCAAAUAUUAGAUUUUGGUAGAUACAACAAUAAAAAAACGUUAAGCUCCUUAUAGAUGUCUGAAAUUAUUCAAAUUUGAAGAUUAAAAAUAUCAGUAUAGAAAAAUAUUAAAUACCUUGACACAUUAACUUUUGAUUUAGUUCAUUUUAAUCAUUCAAUUGUUUAAUGUUCAUUGUUUUGUUCAUUCCAUGGUCGAGUUUUAAUCGAUUUACUCAGUUGGUGGUCAGCCGUUUAUUUCUAAGGUUGGAAUCUAGUAGAGUUAGACCCGUUCAACUAACAAUCAACCUUAGUUUAUUUCUACAACUAGAAUCGAGUCGAGCUAGACCCAUUUGUUAGAAUUAGAAGCCUAAACAAGAGAGAGAUGAAUUGUUUUUGAAAGAUUUUCACAAAGAUUGAAGGUAGCAUAAAAAGCUUUGCAGAAUAAAUCAAUUGAAAAUUCUAUUCAACCAAUAAAAAAAUGUUUUAAGUUUGAUUCUUGAAAAUCAACCAGUUGUUUUCACGACACAAUCAGUUGUUUAUACCAUCAGAAUUGAAAAACAAUGUUAAAACAGUUUGAGUGUAAUGGUUCACUCUUAACCAAGAGCUACAUCUAGUCUUCAGCUAACCACUAAGAAUUCACCACGUAAUCAAUCAUAGAUUACAAAACACACACCAAGAGUGAUGAUCUUGAACCCUUCAAGAACACAUACCACGCUAUGGCAAACAACAUAGUUUUCAGAAACACAUUUUAAAACUGCCUUACACAAGAACACACAGAAAUACAAUGUUCAAUGAAGAAGAGAAUAAAAUACACCUGGUAUACAAAGCUUAAGUUCAGAAGAAUACAAAAUUCAAUCCUAUUCCACACACUUGAGAUGAUCCAAAGCUUUUAAAAUCUUGAAAACUGUUUUUGAUAAACUUUAUUUCUUAGUUAAUGCAAAAAAGCGUAAAACAACCUUUAUAUAACCUCAAUUAAGUAGUCAAAGCAGUUAAAUCAAAAACCAAAAGCAAUUGGAAUAAUUUAAAACAGGUUAAACCACUUAACAAAAUUUUGUUAAGGUUUUCACAAAAAAAAAACUAGUUGAUUUAUCGAAACAACAAGUUGACUUUGUUUGACCGUAAAGCAAAAACAAAGCUAAGCUUUUCCAAACCAUUUUAAAAACCACUAAGUAUCGAACAAUCGAUUGAUUCGACAUUUCAACAUGUUGAAAUUUCACAACCUUUUAGAAAACCCAUCUUUUCAGAAAGGUAAAAAUUCAAUUGAACUUGGAUCAUCUUAAGGAAUUAAUUAACAAGUUUCAAACAACUAAACAACACACACCCAAUAACAAGGUGUUCAAGCUUUUCACUUGGAUUUGGAGUCAUCAAAGCAUCUUGUUCAACACCAUUCAGUUGAUGGUCAACCUUAGUUCAUCUUUAAGAUUGGAAUCUAGGCAAGCUAAACCUGAUCAAUCAAUGAUCAAUCUUAGUUUAUCUUUAAGACUGAAAUGUAGUCGAGCUACACCCGUUCAGUCGAUGUUCAACCUUAGUUUAUCUCUAAGACUGGAAUUUAGGACCCAUUUAGUCGAUGGUCAGCCUUAGUUCAUCUUUAAGACUAGAAUCUAGGACCCGUUCAAUCGAUGCUCGACCUUAUUUUAUCUCUUAGGUUGUUUAUCUCUAAGAAUGUUUAUCUCUUCUAAGGUUGCCGAGCUAGACCCAUUUAUUCGAUGGUCAACCUUAGUUUAUCUCUAAGGUUGAAAUCUAGCUAAGCUAGACCCGUUCAAUCAAUGUAGAUUUUGCCCAACCGUACUAGGUUGUAGAUUUUUUCUCUGUCGUAAUAGAAUUUGUCUAGUCAUGUUGAGUUGUAGAUUUUAUAUUGUAGAUUUUCUUUCUUAAUAGAUUUCGCCCAAUCAUGUUGAGUUAUAGAUUUUAUAUUGUAGAUCAUCUAUCAGUCGUAACAAAUUUCGUCUUGUUGUGCUAGAUUGUAGAUUUUAUAUUGUAGAUCUUCUUUCUAUUGUAGCAGAUUUUGACCGAUUAAACUAGAUUAUAUAUUUUUUUUCUAGAUCUUCUCUUUGUCAUAAAAGAUUUUACAUGAUUGUGCUGGAUUGUAGAUUUUCUCACCAAAUGUAAUUAACAUGUAAAGGAAUUAGACACAUUUUAAAAAGAAGCAUUCAACUUAUUGGAUACUUAUUUUUUACUAUUUAAAAAAUUAUCUAUUACAACUAAAUAUUAAAAUACUUUCAAACAAAAGUUAUCUUUUAUUUUUUUUUUCAUCAAGGAUAACAUCGUUUCUUCUUAUAAUAAAAUUGCAUAAUUUAAGAAGAAAAAUUAUAAUUUUUAUGUUUAACUAAGGUAACGAUGGAUCUCUUAAUAAAAUAAAAUAAAAUAAUUAAUUUAAUAAAAUAAAAAAAUAAAACUAACUAAUAAAAAAAUAUUAUUUUUAUAUUUUUAUAAUUAUCUUUGACAUAAAUAUUUUUUCCUCUCUUGAUAUUAUUUUUUAGGGAGUGUGAUUAGUUUAACGUUAAAAUAAAAAAUAUUAAUUAGUAAUGAAAACUUAAAAGAAAUAGAUAGUUAUUCUAUUUUGAUUUGCAUAAUAGAUUCAACCUAUUAUUCUAAAUCUAUUUUUGUUUAGAUUAAAAGGAGAAUAAGGAAUGAAAGAUAAGAGAAAUAUAAUAGAAAAUAUUGAAAAGUAAAUAUUUCUAAAUGAUUUGAUUGAUAUUAGAAAAUUAUUUAUAUUAAUAUAAUUAAAAAAUAAUUUCAUUUAAUUUAUUAUUUUAAUUAUUUAUUUGAUUAAAAUAAAAAAACUUAAAUAAUAAUAAAUUAUAUUAAAAUAAUAAUAAUCGAUUAUGUAAAAAAUAAUCAAUUAUCUCUUUUUCUUGUUUUGUCCGUAAAUCAUUUUUAGGUUGUCUAUAACUUUUAAACAUUUUUAUUUUACGUGUUUUAAUAUUUUAUAAUUCUCAAUUAUUUCUUUCUUUCUUUCUAUCCUUCUAGAAACAAAAAGAUGGCAAACAAUCUUUUCUUUACUUUGCUUUAUAUCACCAAAGAACUAAUUUCUUUCUUUAAACUUUUCUCUCUCUCAUGCAACCCAUCUUUUUUAAUCAAUAGUGUGAUGUAAGAAAGCACAAGUAUUAAUAAAUAAUAAAAUUUAACCAUAUAUAAUAAAAAAAUACAUUAACAUUGAUUUGCAAUGAUAAUGAUUUGUAUUCUUUAAAUAGGUUAUUACCUGUUCAAAUUUGAAUAAUGUCAAUUUAAAUAUGAAAUAACUCAUAUCAAGCAAGAGUAAAAAUAGUUGGAAAAAAUAUAAAUAAGUAAAAAAUAAAGUGAAAAUAGUAAUUAUUAUAUUUAAGAAAAAAAAGAAAAAAGAUUAAGCUACUUUGGUUUGAAGAAAAUUAGUGUCACACUUGCGAUUCUUGUAUCUUUAUAGUUGUAAAAAUUGAUGUGGGUUAAAAUAUGGCAAAUAUAAUUAAUUACCAAUUAUAAUAAUAACAUUAAUUUUGAAGUUUUGUUAUAAUUAAUCUAUAACGAACUGGUUGGUAUCAAAGAAGAUAAUAUUUUUUAUUGAAAGUAAUUACUAUGUUAUUCAAAAUUAAAAAUAUUUUUAUUUAUAUACAAAUAUUAUAUUUGUAUAUGAUUGAAACUUACAUUAAUUUAUCACUCCAUCGUUAACUUAAUGUAUUUUCAGAUAUUUUCAUCCGUGAAUGGAAAAAUGUCAAUCUUUUUACAACGGUUAAAGUGUUUACCAGAUCUUUAUAAAUACAAAUUUUCAAAAUUUCUUCUUUAUUUCGUCUGACAUGCUGAGUUAUAUUAGGAGUCUAUUUGGAUAAUUUAAAAAAUAUCCAUAAACUAAAACUAAUUUGUAUAAAUUAAAAUUAUUUUAAAAAGUGCGAAAAAUAUUUUAUAAAUUAAUUUACAUGCAAUCUAAUUUAAUUUGUGAAAAAAUAAAUUUUUAUAUUUUUAAAUGUUAAUUGGGAAACUUAUUCAAAUAUAUUAUAAAACUUUAUUUUACGAGUUUUUGCUUCAAUUUUCCCGCUCAAUUCUUGAACAAAAUUAUAUUUAAUUAUUUGCAUCUAUUUUAAAGUAAUCUAUAAUUAGAGAAUUUGGAAUUUAAAAUAUUAUAAUACUAUAUUUAAGAAAAUCAACAUAUUUUUAAUUGUUUUGUGAACUUUGUUUUAUGCGAGCGUGUAGCCUUGAAGCAAAUAAUAGUUUACUACUAUUAUAAAAAUAGUAACAAGAAGGAUAAAUAAUUUUUUCUUAUAUUUAUAUAAUUAAUUUAAUUUUUCCUUUCAUUACUAAAACAUUAUAUUUAGUUUUUCAACUUUUAAAUUAACAUUAAUUUGAUCUUUUCUAUAAUGCAUAAACGAUCUACAUGAAGAAAUCAAGUUUAUAUUGAUUUAAAAUUUAAGAAUUUUAAUUAAAGUUUUUAAUGAUAUUAUUCUUAUAAGACUGAUAUUAUUUUAGCAAAAUAAAAUUUCACUUUUUAGCCUGGUUAGUUAUGUUAUUUAUAGCUCUCGUUAGUUAUGUUAUUUAUAGUCUUUAAGAGUUUGGUGAUAUUUUAUUUUAAUAAAGAGGUAUCUUUAGUGAUACUCAAUGCUUUAGCAAUGAUCAAUGUCUUUUAUAUUUGAGAUUGUUACCCAUUUAUCUUUAUAGAUCUUGCAGGCGAGUCCAUAUCUCAUUUAACCUUGACUUAAUUGUUUGCUAAACGUGUUGGUUUAAGAUACUAUUGCGUACGUAAUUGUAAUGAUUUAACGUUGAAUAGGUUCUUAGAUUAUUCUGAUAGGCUGAGACCUUCUUGACUAGUUGACUAAGACUAAACAUAUAUUUUGAGAUGACCCCUCAAGGGAUCAUAGGCCUCUACUCAUACAUUGACUCCUUAGGUUUGAGGAGGUGCUUAACGAGAAGUUUAUGUUACAUAUUAACCUAUUAUUUAGCUUGUUUUUUGUUAUUCUCUUGAGGUUGAUUGACCAGUCAAUCAUGACCUACAUAAGCAAAAGCAUAUUGUAUUUGAGUUUAGAAAAACAAUAACAUACCUCAUUCAUAUGUUUUCUCUUCUCUUCUCUUCUCGCACUAACCUAUGUUCUCUCUUGACUGUUCAGAAAUCCAUUGAUUAGGGUUUCCCUUCUUUCAUUGGUGUUAUUCGAUGAGUCUUAGGAGAAACCCUAGAUCCCCACUAUAAAAGAUUUUUUUUUACCAUAUUAUCGAGUCUAUAUAUGCUGCUCCCAAGCUUGAGUAGAGGUCACACAAUGAAAAGUCUAGAAUCCUCUUCAAACCACCCUUGUGAGACGUGCAUGUGUGAUUGUAACAUUUUAGAGUUGAGGAAAAGUGUUAUUAUGAUCAUUAAAGAUGGAGAGGGGUUGUGAAGGUUGGGCUUUCACGAACUAUCUAAAAAGGGCUCAAUCUUAAGUGUUGUGACCAUAUGGUGCUAAACCAUAUAUGGUUAGGGUUUUUGAUAUUUAACUUUACUUCUCGAAAUUGCUCCUUAAAGGUCCUUAGUGACUUUACCUUCUCUUAUUGAAUGUUUAUUCGCAGACUAUUGAUGUCAACUACUAAGGAUGACUAGUUGCAAAUCAUGUUUCAAACUUCACAACUAGAGUGAUAAAAUUGUCAAUAAAAUGAGGUGAUAGCCUAGUGAAUCAACUUAGACAACUCCCUUUAAGGAUGUUAGGAACACUCGACACAAAAUUACAUCAUCCAUCAUGUACAAACACAUAUGUGUGAUGUACACAUUAAUGUGCUUAUUGUGAUAUUUAUCUAAGGUAUAAUUUUUCUAUGUUGAUGGGACAUAAUUCGAUUCAGAGUGGGAUGUCAACACAAUCAUAAUGUGCUUAGGAAGGUAUGACUUUAGGCAUGAUAAUAUGUUUUGGUAGCCAAAUAGCUCUCGAUCUCCUGCAUCUUGGAUGCGAGUGGUAGGAAUGUGUCAAUCUAUGUAGCAUAGAUACGAAUACGGACACUGACACGAUACGAAUACGGACACGGAGAUACGUAUAAUCUCUAAAAUGUAUGACACAGGGACACAGAUCUAUAUAUUAUAUAAUUUUGAAUUAUAUAAAUUGAAAAUAAAUAUUUAUGUGUAAAAAUAUGUUUCAGAUUCCUCUGAGAGCAGGUAAGAUAUUUUUCAUGAGUGGUUUAAAAGAAUUUGUUCCUUAUUUUUAUAAUCGUAACAAAAAUUUAUGCAAAAAAAUUGAGUUUUUAGAAAAUUAUUGUAUGUAUACCUUUUAAAAUUGUGUUAAAACUAUGCUAAAAUUUUCAAAAAUCCAACAAAUAUUUUUUGAAUUGAAUACUUAACCGAUAAGUACCCUACGAGUAUCAACAUCGAUACGUGUGUCCGACACGAAUACGUCAUUUUAAGAGAAAUGUCUGAGUCUCAUGCCAAUAGAGUUUUCUUUGGUCUUCACUCCUUAUCUAGGUUGGCCAAGAAGGUACAAAUCUAUCCUUUUUCAACUUUUUCUUCAUUUAGACAUUUUCAUUCCUCAAGGCAUUAAAUUCUGCAGUGUUAUUUUUCAUUAGGAUCUGAAGCUAUUUUCAUAGUUUCAACAAUAAUAUUGUUUGGUCUAAAUUCUUUUACAAUUCUUGGAGUGAUGGUCACUCAUUAUUUGUCAUGUUACAUAUAGAAAAAAUGUAGUUUUCAAAGAAAGUCUUACCCAAUAUCAAAGUGGGGGACAACAUACUUUUAUAAAAUCAAGAUAAUUCUCUGUAAAAUCGUAUUAAUUCUUAUCAUUUAUAUUAUUUUCAAUCUUUAAGAAUUCAGUAAUACUAUCUCAAUUGAUAAAGAGGUGCAUGCAGUUAUAUUAAAUAUAAUAAAAAAUAUGUAAUAAUAUGUCUCUUUUACAUUAUAAUUAUUAUUUAUUAAUUUAAAUGUAUAUUAUUACAUAAUUAUAACAAUGAAUUAAUCUCAAUUAAUCAUAAUAAAUUUAAUAAGUGAAACCAUUCACCUAGUGGAUUAUAAGUUAUUCCAACAUGAUACAAGAGGAAUUAUAUAAUAAUAAUAAUAACUACACCGAAACAUACCUUUAAAUUAAUCCUAGUAGGCUUGACGUUCACAUGCCUCUUUUCUUACCUAUUUACAAGUAAAGUGGAAUAAAUUAUCAGUUUUUCUUUAAAAAAUUCUUUUAGAAUGAUAUCUGUUGUGUAAGAUACAAAUCACACUAAAAUUUUUCAAGUUCAUACUAAGAGUAUAAAUGGAAUAGAACUUCCAGAUAAUAAAACAUCACAUUAUUAUUGAAACAGGUAAAUAAGACUAAACAAACAUUAAUAAUUUAUAAAUGUAAAUUUAAAAAAUAAAUCUUAUAAUUUAUUUAACUUUAUCUUUAUAUAAUUUAUUCAAUUUUAUUCCUAUAUUAUUAAAAAUAUCUAAAUUUUGAAAUUAACAUCAAUUUGGUUUUAAAUUUUAAUAAUAUAAAUAUUAUAUAAAUUAUAUAAAUACAAUGUAAAAAGGUAAUUUAACCUGAUAAUAAUAUACACAAUUUUAUAUCUCUUUGGAAGAGUAACUUCACAUUGACAUGUAAAUAUUCAUUCCCUUAAGAUUUUGUAUGUGUCGGCAGGUGGGGUCCACUUAUUCUCUAACGUAAAAAGAAGUUAAAGAUUUGAAUACUGAAAAAGUAAAAGCAAUUGCUGCUCCUGUCAGAAAUAAUAGGUUAUUCAAUUAAUUUGUUGUCACUUCUGUUUAUUGCAUAUCCAAUUUUGUACAUUUUCAUUUGAAAACUAUCACACUAAAAAGUUUUUCACAUCUAAGUUACACAUAAUCCAUCAACUUUCAACAUUUAAAAAAUUUAUUAAAUAAUAAUUAAAUUUAAUAAUAAAAAAUAAUUAAUCAUUAUAUUAAUUAAAUUAAAUAUUAAUUUAAAAAAUAAAAAAUUAUUUAUAUUUAAAAUAAUUUUUAUUAUUAAUAAAAAUUUAUAAAAUAGUUUUCAAAUUUAUAUCUAAAUUAAUUAUUUAAAUUUUAAUAACUAAUAUUUUAUAUUAUAAAAUAGUCUUUAAAAAAUUAAUAAAAAUUAAUUUAAUAUAUAAAAUAUUAAAUAAUUAAAACUUUAGUAAUUAGGAGUUAAAUACUAAUUUAUAAUUUAUUUUAUAAUUUUUUAUUAAUAAUAGAAAUGAUUUUAAAUGUCAAUAAUUUUUUUAAUUUAUAAAAUAAUAUUUAAUUUAAUUAAAUAAUAAUUAAUUAUUUUGGUUUUUAAAAUUAAUUUUUACUUAAUGAUUUUUAUUAAUGAUUAAGUUGAUGCAUAAAAAUUGAAAUUUGAUUGAAUGAUGUGUUCCACUCUCAAAUUGAAUACCAUUAGGAGGGUCACCAAGUUUACUUCAUAAAUUAGAUUUUACUCUAGUUUCAUUAUUAUUUUUAAAAACAUAAAACUUUUGGGUAUAUCAAAAUAUUUUAUGUACCUUGAAUAAUGUGUCAAUUAAUUACAGAGAAAAUAAUAGUAAUGUGAACAAGUAUUAUUUAAAGAAAGUGAAUUGAAAGCUUUAAAAUCUUAUAUUUAAUAAAAAGUAUUUGUGGUGGUUCAUUCAAUCUCUAUCAUCCUUUGGCAUCAUUUGUGUAGUUGGUGGCUGACUUUUCUUCUCAUUUUUUCUCAUUAUGUAUAAUGUUAGUUUCUGCAAGUAAUCCAUAAAAAUAAAAAAGCAAAGAACUAGUGCUUCUUUAUUCGUGGAGGAAAUUACAGUGGGGUCUUCUUCACUUGUAAUACCACUUUCUUAUCUUCUCCAAUUAAAUGGAAUUGUGAAUUAACAUCAUCAUCACUGUCCUUGAUAUUAGGACACACUGCAGGCUGCUUUCAUGGAAAUGAUAUGAACAGUAACAAUUGUCAGGCUUGCAGUUUCUUGGAUGUAGAUGGCAUGUAACUCACAAAUAGCAAAGAAAAGAAAAGGUGUAUUUAAGCAUAACCUUAAAUAGGAUAAUGUAACAUUAGAGUAAGUUUCAAGAGUUAUCAUGGUUGUUAAUGUCUUAAAAAGUUGAAUGUUGAACCUCUGAAAGUGUUCAUAGAUUAUUUACAACUAACUUUUUUUUUCUUACAUAUUUAUAUCAGUGGAUAGGUACAUAUUUAAUCUCAUUCUUUAAUUAUAUGACUAUCUAAUAUUCUACUCAGAGGUAAGAUGCUUGUUCUUAAUAGGAAGCAAAGGUUGAUUUUGUUCUUCUGAAUGAUCAUAAUAAGGUAAAAGAUGCUUAUUAAGUGUUGUACAUAAGAACAUGCACAUGAUUGCACUCAAAGCUCCUGGGCCAGAGAUAAGGGUUAAAUGGAAAAGAGAAACAACUAGAGAGAGAGAUCAUUCCCAUGUGCAAAAGCAUAGUUUACAGCCAAAAAUAUUUAUCUUUUCCAUUGCAUGGCAUCUUCAAAAGGCAUAUACCUAAAUCGCUGUCUUGCCUAACUAAUGUAUAAUCAAUUGAGUGCAUACAAGAAACCUUGGUUAAAAGCAAACUUACUUUGUGCCUCUUGACUUUUGCAGUUUGUAAUUAUACGUAUAUUUGUCUACCACAACACAACAGCAUUAGCUUCAAAUAUGCAAAACUACACAUCUGAUGACUAGGUUUUUUGUGACAGUUACUGCUGCCCUAACAAUGACUUGGUAUUGAUUAAUGUAAUGCACACAUAUGGCAUAGUUUAGUAUCACAGACAUGAGAUUUUUUUUUCAAGAUGCUUGAGUUAUUAAGGUGAUUUAGGAAGAGUUGAAGCAAGUUGUACAAAAGUAACUAUGCAUUGAAAUUGUAGGUAGUUGUCAAGGCCAAUAAAGCAGUGGAAUCUUGGGGGAAAAGUCUUUGGAUUCUUUGCAAUGAGGUAAAUGAAAGAGAGAUUUUAUUGUCAUACUGAAAAUGUGGUCCACAUCAACAAUGCCAUGUCCUCAUGGCUUGAUCACGUAUAUGGGGUUUCACCAAAAGAAAAAGAUAUCUCCAUUGAUUUUUUUUGAUGUAAAAAUGUUCAAAAAUAUAUUUGAUAUCUUAAUGAAAUUUUUUUUCACUACAAUAAAAUCAUGAAAUAGAAAUCAAUUUGUAGAUACCAAAAUAAUUAGUUGCAAUAGUAACUAAAUUAGAGACUAUUUUAAAAAUUAAAAAGAAAUUUGGUUUUUAAAUUAGUUUCUAUUAUUGUUAAAUAGUUUUUAAAUUGGUAUCUAAUUAGCAACCAAGAUUUUUGUUAUCAAAUUUAGAAACUAAAUAAUUGGUAGUUAAAAUCUUAGUUGUUAAUUAGAUAUCAAUUUAAAAAUUAUUUAAUAAUAAUAUAAAAUUAUAAAAAUUAAUUUAAAUUUUUUUUUUUUAGUUUCUAAAAUGAUAUGUGUUGUAAAUGCUCUACACCUUAUUAAUUGAUUUUUCUAUCAAUGCUUCGUUUGAAGUGUUGGUGACUCUUCAAGAUCGAGAAGCUACAAAGAGAUCAUACAUUAGGGACCACAAUAACCAAGACCAUGAUGUGAAGCUACUUUGACUUUUGCUUAUGGAUUUUAUAUACAUGGUGAUGUGGCCAUAAUGUACCCAUCAGUGAAUAAUGGAGACUCUCUCUCACUCACAUUUUGAUCACUCCACAUGGUCAAAUGCUGACCAUCUGAUCCACUCCAUGACAUGAUCAUGAUGCUGCAUGUUCAAGAUGUGAACUUCCUUUAUGAUCAUUUCAUUUUUUCUUUAAUGAACUGUAGACACAUUAUCUUCUUCUUGGUCCUUUGCAAUUAUUUACAUUUUUCUUGCUGCACAUGAAUACAGCUAAACGAGUGAAUUUUAUUUGGUGCACUUUGAUCCAGUGUGUUUGAUUGUUCAUCCCACUCUCUUGCACCCUUCAAAAUAAUCAAAUCCAAUAGCUACAAUUAAUCUAGUGGUUGGCUCUCAUAGGUUGUAUGAAUGCACCCAAAUUUGUCACACUCCAUCUAUAUCCUUUUAGUCAAGUGGUAAAGGGUGAUAAUAAUGCAUAUUUGUUUUCCCCACAUUGUUUAAUAUUAUUUUAGUACUUUUAAUGCUCAUACCAUCCUCUUAGUCCUGCUGAUUUUUUUUUCUUUUAAAAAUCAUCACAAAUCAAAGUCUCUUGCUUUAAUCAUUAUUAUGUAUUUUAUUUAUCUUUUCACUCACUUGAAAUCUAAAUUUAAAAUUAAUAUUAUAAGAAUAUUUUAAUUUAGAAGUAGACAUGAAAGAGAGGAAUGAAACAUUUUAAAUGAGUAUGUGUGAGUUCUUUAGAUUUAUAUUGAAAUGAGAAGAACAAGCUGAAUUUCUUUUUGUAAUGAGUAAAACACAAUUGGUUGGGAGUGUCGUUUGUGUCUCACAAUGAUCUUGUCUCAAAAUUUGUUCAAUUCAGGAUGAACACGCUUUCUGAUUCGAUUAAUGACGUGUGGAGUACAAUUUGAGUUGGGGUUGUGGGAAAAAUCUGGAAUCACAGGAAUUCUAUCAUUUUCAAUAGGAGUGUGACUGAUGCGUCUGAAAUUGGAUUUUUGUAAAUCUCGCUUUGCUUCGGGGUUUUCUUUUCCUGUUGGUGUUUGAAACCUUUGGAAUGUAUACGAAUGAUUGUUUGAUGUAUUUUAGGUUUUUAGUAUGGGUAGUGUUUUUGCUUGUUGGUUUGGUGGUUUUUGUUAGAUGUUGGUUACUGUAUCUCUUGUAUAAGGGCUGAUUCACUUCUGAAGUGGUUCACAUUUAUUUAUUUGUUAUUGCUGAUAAAAAUGGCUUAAUUUUUAUUUAGGGUUUUCAUUUUUUUUUCAAAAAAGCAAUUUAUAAUUUAUUUAACUUUUUUAUCCCUUUUUUUAAAGAACGUAUAAUUAUUCACUAGAAUAUGAGUAUCUAUCCAUUAUUUUCUAAAAAAAUAAAGGAAAGAAAUUGCAUGCAAAAGGUUUGUAAUCAAAUGCUGUCCACCUAAACCCCUUUGGUAUUUUAAAUUCUAAACCAUUACUUUACAGUGUUAAAACAUUAAAAUAGUACCAAAUACAAGGACAAAUAUGUCUUACCACUUUUAUACUUUAUUCCCUCUCAUAAUGCAUAACGUUUGUGAUCUAUAGGAACCCACAUGCCAUACUUAUAUAUAAUUAUAAACUAAUAAUCAAGUUCUUGUACAUUAUUCAGAAUAUUCUUCGCAAAUAUAUAAGAUCUAUAAAAGUCUACUUUUAAAAAUAAUUUUUAUUUAUUGGACUAUAUAAACAAAAAUUAAAUAUACUUGCAUUUCAAAAUAUUAUAAUUUUGAUUACAACUUGGGAAUAAUUAAUAUGUUAGUGAAAUUAUGUGAAGAAAAUAAAUUAAAUUGAUAUCCUAAUGGUUUGUUAAUGUUGAAUAUAAAAGGACUUUAUCUUUGAAGUGAGCAUGUGUUGUAAUAUUUUUUAGGAUUGUAUCAGAAUUUGACCUGCAUGGUGUCCACACCUUACAAUUUAGUUUUUGCUGAAAAAAAAACCCUUAAAAUUUAGUUGUAAAAAAGGUUACUGCACACCUAUCUUCCAGACAUCCCUAAUCAAGUUUCUCCAAAACCUCAUGCUAAGAACCCUACCAAUUUUUUUAUUUCACAUUUUUCUAAUACUUAUUAUUAUUCAAAUAAUCAAUCAUUUACCCUAUAAAUAUUAUACUUUUUCAUCUUCAUGAUUUACAUGCAUGCAUGUUGCCACUAUAGACUAUACAUGGGACAACUAUCUUGAAUACCUCGCAAAAAGUCUUCCCCCAAAUAACCCAAUCAUCAUUUCAUGUACAAAUCCUCCAAACUUUUUACCAAACUAGGUAGAUCUCAUGUCCUCUAAUCAUUUCAGGUUUGGGUAGGAUCAUUUUUUUUUUCAUUUUAAUUUUAACAUGUAGUAUUCAAGUAAAUUAAUCAGUGAAAAUUUCAAUUUGUUAAAUGAUCCAAUUUAAACGGUUAAAAAAUAUAUGAAAUCUUUUAAAUCUUUUAAGUAUUUGCAGUAAAAAAACUAUUAAAAUGAUAGUUGUUAUAAGUUUUUUUUACAUUAGAAACACAAAUUUAUAACGUUAAUUAUAUUAUAAUAUUUAUGUUAAUGAUAAAUAACAUAAAAUAUUUUAACAUUUUAGUCCAUUCAUGUUGAUUUAUCAUUGAUGUAGAUAUUAUAAUAUUAUCAAUAUAAUUUAUAUUGAAAUUUUUUUAUUACAUAAAAAAAUUUGACGAUAAAUCCUUUUAAUAAUUUUUUUAUUAUAAAUAUCCAGAAGAUUUAAAAAUUAGUCUAAAAACAAAAAAUAAUUUUAUAUAAAAAUAUAAAAACAAAAUAUAUAUUUAGCCCUUUUUAAAAUAAUUGUUAUCCCUAAGAGACCAAAUUUACCAUUUCAGGCACAUGACAAUAGUAACUUUUUCUUUAAACCACGUUAUGUUCAAUUUAUGUUAGAGAAGCUAAUGCAAGUAAAGAUCCUGCUUCAAUUCUACUAGUUGAAAUCAAUUACACAAAUCCUUAUAUGAAAUCUCCUAUGUGUUUUUCAAUAUAUGUUGUUUAGCUGAUAAAAAAACUUCUCUGCAAUCUAUUUAAACCAUGUUUUUUUUGUAACUGUGUUUGGAGCUAUUAAGAAAAAUAACGAUUUGAAUCGAUAAGAAAUCACCAUCCUUCUAUAUAUAUAUAUUAAAAUCAUUCGAAAUAAUUAAUUUUUCUCAAAUUCAUUAUGCACACCUAUCUAGGAUUAAAAUAAGCAUAUAUAGUAGAUUCUGGUUUUGUCUUUUUACACGAAGAAUCUCGUUUCAAAAAUCCAAAAAAAUAGUUUUAAAAAUGUGUGUUGUGCAGUCACUUUCACUUCAUAUUCAAGUAAAAGAAUUUACCCCAAGACAUAGCAAGACAGCACUGAAGUAGCUGGUGUUCUUGUUUUCUUGUUCUACUAUCUCUGAUAUUUUGCACUAAAAGUUGCCCAAAAUCAAACUUACUACUACUUUAACUGUUGCUCAUUAUCAUACCAAAAAAAACAGUGUGGCUAUAUCCUCCCAUAACUUGUGUGAAAUAUAUUACAACUCAAACGUUAAUGACAUUUGUUGAGAGAGACAUAGGAAAAAAUGACAUUCAGUCAAUGGGAAUGUGACAUCUAUGUGAUCACGAAUGGUCAAAUAUAUGGCCACUCUGGAUCUGAAACCUAAACAUGUUCUUUUCUUUUAAAUGUUUUCCAUCUAUGAUCAACCUCUACAAUAUCAUUCCCCAAGUUGCUUCCUUCACCCUUCCUUUUCUGUCAUACACAUUCAUUACUUUAUUUCUUAUAAGCUCCAUAAUUGAUUUGAUUGGAAUAAUAAUACACUGUGACGGUGAAUUAUAAAUUGUUUCACUAUUAUGAAUAAAACUUCUCUAACAACACGUUUCUCUUCUGUCUGUGGUUGCUUUUAUAUACUGCUAAAUCUUUAGUCAAUCCUUGUUUAAGAAUAACCACCUGUUAUUACUAUUUUAUGUAUUAAACUACUGCACGUAAUCAACAUUAGUUUCAAGUGUUUUGUAUGCUAUAUUGUAAAGUUAACAUCUAUAUUUGACACAUUAGUUUAAUACCUUUUUACAAGAUUGACACAUGUCAAUCCUUGGUAUCAUAUACAAUGACUUUCCUUGUUUCAUAUAUAUAUAUAUAUAUAUAUAUAUAUAUAUAUAUAUAUAUAUAUAUUACUUAUUAUUAUANNNNNNNNNNNNNNNNNNNNNNNNNNNNNNNNNNNNNNNNNNNNNNNNNNNNNNNNNNNNNNNNNNNNNNNNNNNNNNNNNNNNNNNNNNNNNNNNNNNNAUAUAUAUAUAUAUAUAUAUAUAUAUAUAUAUAUAUAUAUAUAUAUUCCUUUUUAUAAUAUACUGCACUAAUAUCAGUCUUUUUCAUGUUCAGUUUGGAUUUGAUGAAUACUAUUCAAUCGGAUUGGAAAACAAUGAUUUGUUGGAGAACUAGGGUUACUAACUAGAAUUAAACCCUAAAUCCUAAUUACAUAAAAAAAUACAGGUAUAAUUAUUUAUGAAGUAUUAUUACUAUAUUAAUAAUUUUUAUACUUUUUUUAUGAUAUUUUUUGGGUUUUUUUUUAUCAAAAUUCCCUACUUUUAUCAUUUAUGUCGAUUCUUUUCAUUUUUUAUCGGUUUGUUUCUUCCAUUAUUCUUCAUAUUGUUGUUUAUGUGUUUGUUACGUUUUUCACAACCUAAAAAUGAUUUCUUUUUUAUUUUUUUUUAUAAAAAAAUUGAUUGCUUUUGAUGUUUCUAUUGAUAUAAAAAAUUAUGUAAAAUUUAAACUAUAUUAUAAAAGUAAAAUAAAAAAUUAAUGUUGUAAGUGAAAAAUAAAUAAAAGUAAAAUCAUAAAACAAUUAUUUCACAUUUAUUUCCAGUCAAUUACGAAGAAUGAAAAAAGCUAAUUAGCGGGAGAAGAAGGAAAUGACAUCCUGCACCAAUGCGAAGAUAUACGAAGAAUAUAAUAUAAUAAUAAUAAUAAUAAACUAAUAUAUUCAUAUAAUAAUAAUAUAAAUAUAUUUAUAUAAUAAUUUAAAUGUAUUUAUAAAAUAAUAAUAAAAGAAAAUAAAUUAAUAAUAUAAAUAUAAAAAUUAUAAAAUAAUAAUAAUAAUAUGCGUAAAAUUAUUAAUAAUAAACUAAUAUAUUCAUAUAAUAAUAAUAUAAAUAUAUUUAUAUAAUAAUUUAAAUGUAUUUAUAAAAUAAUAAUAAAAGAAAAUAAAUUAAUAAUAUAAAUAUAAAAAUUAUAAAAUAAUAAUAAUAAUAUGCGUAAAAUUAAAAAUAAUAAUAAUAUAAAAAAAGGUAAUAAAAUUAUAAAUAAAAAUAAUAAUUAAAAUAAAUUUACUAAAUAGUAAUAUUAAAAAUAAUUUUUUUUAUUUUAUAAAAAUAUUUUGUAUGUAUCUAUAAUAAAAAAUAAAAAAUAUUAAAUAAAUUUAAGCAAUAAAAAUAUUUAAUAAUAUUAUUAAUAAAAAUAAAUACUAAUAAUUAAUAAUAAAAAAUAUUUAUAAUAUAUAAAAAAAUAAGUAUACAAAAUUUUAAUUACUAAAAUUUAUAAAAAAAUAUUUCUUUUUUAAAGACUGGGAUAAUUUACAUUUUAAUAUUUUAAAAAAUUAAAAAUUUCCUCACACACAUCACAUAUAAUUUUAAUAAGCUUUCUUCACAAAUUUACUCUACAUACCUUAAUCCAAACAUCCUAACUUUUUUCACACUUUUCUCUCAAAUCAAUCUAAAUCCACUCCCUCAAAUUUUCACCUUUUUUCUCACUAAUUCAAACACAACAUUAUUGUUUUAGGUUAUAUAUAUAUAUAUGAAGGGUGAUGUAAUGAGACUUAGGUAUGUGGUAGCUAUCUAUGUAGCUAUGAAUGAAUCUUACUAUUUUGGAAUACAUUGAAACAGAAGUUAGAAACUUACCAACCGUUAUGGAACAUGGGAAAAAUGGAAACUGCCACCGAAAUUUACUAAAAUAAGAGCAAGAAAUUUAUAAGCUAUGGUAUCUUCACUUUUCUUCCAUCCCCUUUCUUUAACUCACUCAUAUACUCUUCCCAUCCUCCUUAUCUUAUUAUUAUACGAAUUAUAAUUCGUAUAAUAAAAGUUAAUAUUUAAAAUUAACAUAUAUUAGGAAGAUAAAAAUUAACAUGCUAAAAAUACUUAUAAUAUUGCACCUAACCUUUAUCAACGUUUUCAACUUCUACGUAACUUGGGUCACAACAACCAUUACUAUUAAUGUUUUCAUUAACUCAACUAACGUCAGUAUUCCACCACUCGAUCACUCCAAAGCUUGAGGACCCAUUAGGGAUAAGAACCCACCUUCGUUGGAUUCAGGGUGUAUAUUUUUUUCAACACAAAAUUAAUUAUAAAUUACAGUUGUUACUAAGAUGAUGUUUGGUUAAAUUUAUGAAAGUGACUUUUAGGAUACAUUUAAUUAAUCAAGAGAAUUUUGUUUAAUUGGACACUUAAAACGUAUUGCUUGUAGCAAGUUCUUAUAUUAAAUGUAUUAAUCAAACAAUGAUUAUAACCUAUAGGGUUUAUACAAAAAAAAAAACUUUCGUUAAAAAAAGAUAUACUACAAGGAGGAAGCAAACAAUAAACUGUUGGUAAAUAUUUUGUUGUAGUGAUUAUGUCAAUAUCGGUGUUUUGUUCGUAAAAAGAGUUCACUUAAUAAGAAAUACAAUACGAAAGGAUUUCGAAAAACAAAGGAAAAUGAAUAUGUUGAGUAAUGAUUUUGGCAUUUAUUUAAUUCGUAUUAUGAGAGAGGAAAACCGGGCAGUAUCAAAUGUUUUGGUCCUACAUAGGAUCAGAAUUAUUAAAUAAGUUCGAUAAAAAAAUUAUCCAACACUCGAAAGGUAAAAUUAGUUUGUUUAUUUUAAAAUGUAGGUAUAUUUGGAAGAUUUUAAAUUUGUUUUUCUUGAAUAAAAAAUUGUGAUUAAUUUAAAUUUUGAGAAGAAAAAUAAAAUUAGUAAUUGAAGAGGAAAAGAUAUGAAUUUGGGUGGCAUUUAUAUUGCAAAGUAAGAAAUAAAAGGUGGAAAGUAAAAGGAAUUUUGUUUUUUCCGAAAAGAAAGUGAGCAAUGGCAUGCUGCAUGUGCAAGUGUGGUGCACACUCUAAAAUGUCUAGAGAACCCUAGAUCAAUUUAUUAGAGAGAGAGAGAGUAAAAAAAGAGGGAUACUCUUUCUAAAUCAUUGAGGCUGCUAAGGACCAUGUCGUACCACACUUUUUAAGUCUUCCGGUGCCAACAAAUAUCGUUUACUCUCUGCAAAACCAUUCAUUUAUAUUUUCAGAGUUUUAGUAAGAUGUUUUAAGACCAGCAGUCACAAAUUACAAACUAAAAUGAUAGUUUAACGAUUAUAAAAGUUAUAUAUAAUUUUUGAAAUAAUGGAUUUAAAAAUAAAUAUAUAUAAUAAAGAGUAAAUUUAUAAUUAAAUAAUAGGCAAGUUUUUUAAAAUAAUAGUAUUAAAAAUUAUAAUGUGAUUAUAUAAAAAAUUGGAUUAUGAAUAUAUCAUUACCCAAAAAAUACCCAACAGUUAAACGGACAUUAAUUCAUGUUUCAGUAUUUUAAAUUCAUUUUUUGUUUCCUUCUAAGUACCACUUCCAUCUAAUUGGUCAAGACAAUAGUAAUAAUAGUUUAUUUAUAUUUACUGCCAAAAAAAGGACAAAUGUCAUUAUCGUAAUUUAAGGCUUUUUUUCUGUUUGCGAACGUGAAUAUAGGGGAAUGUAGUUUUCUACUUUAAUUGAUAUUUUUUAUGAGAUAAUUAUUAGCGUUUUAUUAAAAAAUAAUUAAGGGUAGAAGGAGGAGAAAAGGUGAUUGGAAUGGGCAUGCAUGAACGGGUGAGGAGAAAUUUAGCAAAAUGAUUAGUUGGUGUGGAAUGUGGUAAAGAAAGAAUCUAUAUAAAGGGUGGCACUUGGUUGUGAAAGAGCAUAACAAAACCCCACUUUGUAGUGAGGUUGAGGGAAAAAACAAUGAGGUCUCUAAUGGCCUCCGCAACAGUCACUCUUGUGUUAGCAAUACUGUCUCUAAGCUUGCCAUCUCAAAUCUCAGCUGAUACCUACUUGUACUCAUCACCUCCUCCUCCCAAGAAGCCCUAUUAUUAUCACUCUCCUCCACCACCUUCACCUCCUCCACCUAAGCCAUACUACUAUCAUUCACCACCACCACCUUCACCUCCUCCACCCAAGCCAUACUACUAUCACUCACCACCACCACCUUCACCUCCUCCACCUAAACCAUACUACUAUCACUCACCACCACCACCUUCACCUCCUCCACCUAAACCAUACUACUAUCACUCACCACCACCACCUUCACCUCCUCCACCUAAACCAUACUACUAUCACUCACCACCACCACCUUCACCUCCUCCACCUAAGUCAUAUUACUAUCACUCACCACCACCACCACCCAAAAAGAAGCCAUACUACUACCAUUCUCCCCCACCACCUUCACCACCUCCUCCUAAGCCAUACUACUAUCACUCUCCCCCACCGCCUUCACCUCCUCCACCUACGCCAUACUACUAUCAUUCUCCCCCACCACCCUCACCACCUCCACCUAAGCCAUACUACUACCAUUCACCACCACCCCCACCGAAGAAGAAGCCUUACUACUACCACUCUCCACCACCACCUUCACCUCCUCCUCCAAAGAAGCCAUACUACUACCACUCCCCACCUCCUCCCAAGAAGCCCUACAAAUAUUCAUCUCCCCCACCUCCAGUGCACCCUUACCCUCAUCCUCACCCCCAUCCCCAUCCACACCCCCACCCUCACCCUCCCUACGUUUACAAAUCUCCUCCCCCACCCCCUAAGAAGCCAUACAAGUACCCAUCCCCACCACCUCCAGUCCACGUUUACCCUCACCCUCACCCGCAUCCACACCCUCACCCUCAACCUCACCCCCAUCCACAACCCCACCCUCCCUACAUUUAUCAGUCUCCUCCACCACCCCCUAAGAAGCCUUACAAGUACCCAUCGCCUCCACCUCCCGUCCACCCAUACCCCCAUCCCCAC